AAAAAGAGUGCAAAUAAUUGAAGGGAUUAUUCAAGGGCUAUUAUACCUCCAAGAAUAUUCAAGAUUAACAAUUAUCCAUAGGGAUAUAAAAGCCAGCAAUAUUCUAUUGGACUUACAAAUGAAACCAAAGAUUUCUGACUUUGGAAUGGCAAGAAUUUUCAAGAAAGAUGCAAUUGAAGCAAAUACCAACAGAAUAGUUGGAACAAAGUAAGUAUUAUACAUAAUUUUUUGGAAUUAAAUUUAUUUAUAUAUAUUGAUUAAAGAAAAAUAACCGGUGCACGAAACACAUCAUGUUCACGUAGGGUUUAAGAAAGGGUUGACACAUUAAAGGGUGUGAUGUAAGCAGUUUAUCCUGAAACUAGCAUGUGGCAUCAGUGACUGAUUCCACAGCUCGAAUCUUAAUUUUUAUGUAUAUAUUUAUUUAAUUUGUAAUGUGUUGUAGGGGUUAUAUUCCACCUGAAUAUGCAAUUGAAGGCAGAUAUUCAACAAAAUCUGAUGUUUUCAGUUUUGGAGUACUUCUUCUUCAAAUCAUAAGUGGGAAAAAGAAUACUUGUUACUAUGGUCCAGAUGACAAUUUAGACCUUCUUGAUUAUGUGAGUUGUGAAUAUAAAUUCAGAUAUAUUAUUGAUAUUUAAUUUAUACAUACCAGUAAUUAAUAUUAAAAUAAUAAUACAGGCAUUUGAGAUGUUUAAAGAUGGUGAAGGCAUGGAAUUUAUGGAUCAAUCACUUGAUGAUACAACACAUUCUUGUAAACUAUUGAAAUGCAUGCAAAUUGCAUUAUUAUGUGUCCAAAAAAAUCCAUUGGAUAGGCCUACAAUGUUGGAAAUUUCAUCUAUGUUAAAAAAUAUUGAAAAAUUUAGUUAUGAAUUCCCCUAAGAGGCCUGCAUUUUCUACAAGACAAGUAUGAAGAUCAAGUUGGCAAUAUUCCAAAUGGGGAAUUAGACAUUGACAAUGCAACAAUUACACAAUUGGUUGCAAGAUGAUAUGCUACUCUUUGCGAUUGAUUUAAUCUGAUUAGCAGGUAAUUUGUCUUAUUUUCAAAAUUACAAAUCCCAAUUAUUUAUAGACGUUUACUACCUAAUCAUAUUUAUUGGUGAUUUGAAGUGUAAAGAUCAUUUAUCUAUUCCUCCUGUCUCAUUUUACACGAAGGUGUUACUAUUUGAGGAGUCAAUUUUUUUUUUCUUUGACAAUAUAUUUUCAAACUUCUAAUUUAUAAAUAUUAUAUGAAUCAUUAGUUACAUCGACUUGUAUUUUUUUUUUUAUUAUGUAAAUUUUUAUUUAAUCUAGAUCCAAAUUCAUCUUUUGAGUCAAGGGUCUAUCAGAAACAAUUUUUCUACCCCACCCCACAAAAGGUAGACGUAAAGUUUGUGUAUAUCCUACUCUCCCAAGGCCCAUACUCCAGUUAUAGAAUUACACCUGAAUAUGUUGUUUUUGUUGUGAUAUCCGAAUUAGUAAUCAAAAUUAAAUAUUUCGACCUCACAUUAAUUAAUCUAGAUUUAUGUCGUGUAAAUCUAUUAAAAAGAAAGUAUUUCCUAGUAGAAUAUUCAGGUUGUUUUUGUGGUGAUAUCCGAAUUCGUAGUCAAAAUUAAAUAUUUCGACCUUACAUUAAUUAAUCUAGAUUUGUGUCGAAAAAAAUCCAUUGGAUAGGCCUACAAUGUUGGAAAUUUCAUCUAUGUUCAAGAAUAUUUAAAAUUUAGUUAUGAAUUCCCCUAAGAGGCCUGCAUUUUCUACAUGUAGAGAAGAUGAAGAUCAAGUUGAUAAUAUUCUAAAAUGGGGAAAAUAGACGUUGACAAUGCAACAAUUACACUAUUGGUUGCGUGAUGAUAUACAUUGAUAGUGUAAAGAAUUUUUUAUCAUAUUAAUUUAUUUUAAUUUGAUUAGUAGGUUGUUUGUCUUACUUUUGAGACUAUGAAUUUCAGUUAUUUUUGGACAGUGAUCACCUUGCCAUAUUUAUUGGUGACUUGAUAGUGUAAAGGUUAUUUACUUUUUCUGUCCCAUUUUAUGUAAGUGGGAGAGGGAAUGAGCUAGCCUCAUUAAUUUUUUAUUCUUUGAUGUAUAUUACUAUCAGUCGUUGUAUUUGUUUUGUAUCUUAUUUUUUUAUUGUCUCUUUAGUUACAAUCUUGUGUCGAAUACUUUCCUUUUAAAUCGAGGGUCUUCUGAAAAUAUCUUCUAUAUCUCACAAUGAUAAGGACAAUGUUUGUGUACAUACACAAACCUUCACAUCCUACCCUUGAACAAACAAAUUUUGAAGCUAACCUGAGUGGAUAGUCACAGUGGCGGAACCACAUGUAGUAGUUGAGGGGUGUCGAUCGACGCCCCUUCGUCGGAAAAUUAUAGCUAGAGUAAAAAAAAAAGUUUAUGUAUAUAUAUUACAUAUUGGCACUCCUUAACUUCUUUAUAUUUUGACACCUCUUAGUCGAAGUUCUGGCUCCGCCAUUGAAAUAGAGUUACUAUGUUGCUGGUGAAAAGUGGCCAGUAUCUUAUGAAAUUAGUUGAGAUACGCACAAUCUAGCCCACACACCAUGAUAUAUAUAUAUAUAUAGAAACUACACAAGAUAGUAAAAAAUAUAGUAUAAAGUUAAAACUUACGAUUCAUAUUCAUCCUUUAUAUGUCUCAUAAGAUUUGCAGUUCUCCUUCUUGACCUUCAACAAGCUCCCAUAUAUAUGUAUGGGUUCACGAAAAGGAUCGAAGAAUUUAUUACACACAGUUUUAUCCUAUAUUCUAUCAGAAGUUAUUUCAACAAGUGACCUUCCGAUCACCGCGUAAUCCAAAGAUAACAAAUCUAUUAGCUUACGAGUACGGCAUAAAUAUACAUAAAUUAUUAAUUAUAUUUUAGAACUUUAUACCUUAAUUAACUAGUUUAAAUAUUAAAUUAUAUUUCUUUUUUUUUUUUAAAACAUACAUUGAAAUAAUCAACAUCUACUAUAUAGACAAUAACAAAGAGAAAAAUAUAGUCUGUGAAAUCCCAUUAAGUGGAGUCUACAGAAGGUUAGAGUGUGCGUAGUAUUUACCAUUACCUCAAGGAGGUAGAGAAACUCUUUUAAAAAGAUCUUCAAUUUAAGUGCAUCAAACCUUAAUUUUUAAAAAAUAGAAAAUAAUAAUGACAUAAAAAAUAGUAUAACAUCUCCUAUAACAAAAGAAGUAUAACAUCUUAAAAAAAGAAAUAAUAAUAACAACCAAAUUAAUCGAAACACAAUACACAAUAUACAUCUAUAAUAUACACAUAAAAAAUAACAAGCUUCACACCCCCUCGAUCCUACCUAACUUCGCCCCUCAGUUUGAUCUUAUUGAUUUAAGUGAUAUAUAUAUAUAUACUAGAUUUUGUUGCCCGUGCUAUGCACGGGCCCAAUAACAUAAAUGGUAUGUUUUGGGGCUAAUAACGAAAUUUUUGAAGCGAUUGUUUGUGUGGAUAAAAGAAUAAGUUUUUUUUAUCACAAACCUGUACUUUCUUUGACGCUAUUCAAGGCACAAUAAGACUACCCACAUACAACAUUUUUGAACAAUUUUAUGUUGUCAAUUAUCACGAUUUAAUUUUAAGAAUCAGUCAANNNNNNNNNNNNNNNNNNNNNNNNNNNNNNNNNNNNNNNNNNNNNNNNNNNNNNNNNNNNNNNNNNNNNNNNNNNNNNNNNNNNNNNNNNNNNNNNNNNNNNNNNNNNNNNNNNNNNNNNNNNNNNNNNNNNNNNNNNNNNNNNNNNNNNNNNNNNNNNNNNNNNNNNNNNNNNNNNNNNNNNNNNNNNNNNNNNNNNNNNNNNNNNNNNNNNNNNNNNNNNNNNNNNNNNNNNNNNNNNNNNNNNNNNNNNNNNNNNNNNNNNNNNNNNNNNNNNNNNNNNNNNNNNNNNNNNNNNNNNNNNNNNNNNNNNNNNNNNNNNNNNNNNNNNNNNNNNNNNNNNNNNNNNNNNNNNNNNNNNNNNNNNNNNNNNNNNNNNNNNNNNNNNNNNNNNNNNNNNNNNNNNNNNNNNNNNNNNNNNNNNNNNNNNNNNNNNNNNNNNNNNNNNNNNNNNNNNNNNNNNNNNNNNNNNNNNNNNNNNNNNNNNNNNNNNNNNNNNNNNNNNNNNNNNNNNNNNNNNNNNNNNNNNNNNNNNNNNNNNNNNNNNNNNNNNNNNNNNNNNNNNNNNNNNNNNNNNNNNNNNNNNNNNNNNNNNNNNNNNNNNNNNNNNNNNNNNNNNNNNNNNNNNNNNNNNNNNNNNNNNNNNNNNNNNNNNNNNNNNNNNNNNNNNNNNNNNNNNNNNNNNNNNNNNNNNNNNNNNNNNNNNNNNNNNNNNNNNNNNNNNNNNNNNNNNNNNNNNNNNNNNNNNNNNNNNNNNNNNNNNNNNNNNNNNNNNNNNNNNNNNNNNNNNNNNNNNNNNNNNNNNNNNNNNNNNNNNNNNNNNNNNNNNNNNNNNNNNNNNNNNNNNNNNNNNNNNNNNNNNNNNNNNNNNNNNNNNNNNNNNNNNNNNNNNNNNNNNNNNNNNNNNNNNNNNNNNNNNNNNNNNNNNNNNNNNNNNNNNNNNNNNNNNNNNNNNNNNNNNNNNNNNNNNNNNNNNNNNNNNNNNNNNNNNNNNNNNNNNNNNNNNNNNNNNNNNNNNNNNNNNNNNNNNNNNNNNNNNNNNNNNNNNNNNNNNNNNNNNNNNNNNNNNNNNNNNNNNNNNNNNNNNNNNNNNNNNNNNNNNNNNNNNNNNNNNNNNNNNNNNNNNNNNNNNNNNNNNNNNNNNNNNNNNNNNNNNNNNNNNNNNNNNNNNNNNNNNNNNNNNNNNNNNNNNNNNNNNNNNNNNNNNNNNNNNNNNNNNNNNNNNNNNNNNNNNNNNNNNNNNNNNNNNNNNNNNNNNNNNNNNNNNNNNNNNNNNNNNNNNNNNNNNNNNNNNNNNNNNNNNNNNNNNNNNNNNNNNNNNNNNNNNNNNNNNNNNNNNNNNNNNNNNNNNNNNNNNNNNNNNNNNNNNNNNNNNNNNNNNNNNNNNNNNNNNNNNNNNNNNNNNNNNNNNNNNNNNNNNNNNNNNNNNNNNNNNNNNNNNNNNNNNNNNNNNNNNNNNNNNNNNNNNNNNNNNNNNNNNNNNNNNNNNNNNNNNNNNNNNNNNNNNNNNNNNNNNNNNNNNNNNNNNNNNNNNNNNNNNNNNNNNNNNNNNNNNNNNNNNNNNNNNNNNNNNNNNNNNNNNNNNNNNNNNNNNNNNNNNNNNNNNNNNNNNNNNNNNNNNNNNNNNNNNNNNNNNNNNNNNNNNNNNNNNNNNNNNNNNNNNNNNNNNNNNNNNNNNNNNNNNNNNNNNNNNNNNNNNNNNNNNNNNNNNNNNNNNNNNNNNNNNNNNNNNNNNNNNNNNNNNNNNNNNNNNNNNNNNNNNNNNNNNNNNNNNNNNNNNNNNNNNNNNNNNNNNNNNNNNNNNNNNNNNNNNNNNNNNNNNNNNNNNNNNNNNNNNNNNNNNNNNNNNNNNNNNNNNNNNNNNNNNNNNNNNNNNNNNNNNNNNNNNNNNNNNNNNNNNNNNNNNNNNNNNNNNNNNNNNNNNNNNNNNNNNNNNNNNNNNNNNNNNNNNNNNNNNNNNNNNNNNNNNNNNNNNNNNNNNNNNNNNNNNNNNNNNNNNNNNNNNNNNNNNNNNNNNNNNNNNNNNNNNNNNNNNNNNNNNNNNNNNNNNNNNNNNNNNNNNNNNNNNNNNNNNNNNNNNNNNNNNNNNNNNNNNNNNNNNNNNNNNNNNNNNNNNNNNNNNNNNNNNNNNNNNNNNNACUUUUGGGACUUGUACUCAUUUUGUUAGUAGCUCUGUACUAGUGACUUCCAGGUUCUGGGAGGGAUCUUUAUUUGUAUAUAUGUUUUUGGUUUGCUUCCGCCUGUUUAUAUUGUUAUUUGCCUACUCUUGUUUAGUUUCUACCCUCAGACCCAUUACUUGUUGUUCCGGGUUACGGGUUGGCUUACCUACUGGUGGGUUAUAGUAGGUGCCAUCAUGACUUGAGAAAUCGGGUCGUGACACUAAAACAUUGAAGAUCUAACUAAAAAUAAGGUGAUAGAGAGGGAGGAGGUACCGCAAUUGUUGCUGCCUUGUUAUUAAUCCACUAUAUCCAGUUAGAUACAAAAAGAUAUCGUGAACAAUAGAAAUAGAGAAAAUGAUAAAUCAGUGAAGAAAAUCUGUUAGAAAAUACACCUACCUGAUCGGCAGUAACAAUAGCAUAAUUCUCGUUGGAGUUGACUGGAAUUCAUUGGAAACGAAAUUGAUUGUCCUUUAAGCUUCAAUCAUGAAAGAGGGUUUCGCUCUAUUUGAUUUGUUUCUCAACUAAAGGUGCAUGUCAAAUUAAAUAGUCAAUAGUGCCUCAAACAUGACAUCUUAACCAUUUUUGAAUUCUUCUUUAACAUAAUUUCUUUUGUAUAAGUUAUAUCUUAACCAAGUCAUAUUUGAAAGAUUACCAAUUCACAAAUCUAAAUCAUUUUACCAAAUUGAGCCCAUCUCACAACUGAUAAAUUUUUUUUUUAGCACAUUUGAUCAAUCAGUAGUACACAAAAGAAAUAAAAAAAAGUAGUACCCAAAAGAAAUAACAAAUAACUCAUUACUAUCAUGUAGAUUUAUUCAAAUCAAUGGCCUUUUCUUUUGAACCCUAAUUUUGAACCAAGGAAAUAGAAAUAAUUUGAGGAACAUAAUAAAAUAAAGUGUGAAAUAAUCAGCUUUAACUUGUAGAGCAUUUGUCAAAAGAUAAAAAGAAGUGUUCAAUUAAGUUGGGUAUAUUAUGAAGCACCGAAAAUAAUUUUGUCGCGAAGAAGAGACCACCCGUGAAGAAGGUUAAAGAACUCAUUAGUGUCAUCUCUGCUGUGAAUUCUUUUUCCUUCUUUCAAAGACUCUGACACUGUUAACAGCCACGACAUAUGCACAUUCCGUCGUUUUUGUUGGAAACAAAACGGGUAUCCCUGUUACACUCCCUCGCCGAAAACCUCCAACAUGUUUAACCUUUUCCUCCUCUUACGUGAACAUGUUUGUUAACCUUUUCCUCCUCUUAUGUGAAAUACACCCAAAAAAUUUUCAAUCAACCAGUAAAACAAUAGAUAUUUAUAGGUAUAAUUAGAGAAUGAGAAAUUUACCGAUUUAAACUAAGCAACAACUUCAAAAUUCCAACUUGAAUCUGGGUAAGUCAAAGAGAGCUAAGAAAGAGAACUACAGAAGGACAUAAACAGAGUAAGAAAUUUUUUAUUCUGUAAGAGGGAAAUAUUUUAAUAUGGUCAAGGCCCAACCAACAAUAGUUGUGUGAGGCUCCAUUUAAUUUUGAAAAAAUUACAGAAAUCCUACCUUUUAGUUUACUCAUUACCAUUAUCCCCUAUAAGUUUUACAAAUCUCUAAAAUCCCUCAUUUCGCGCAUCAGAUUAAUGUAUCUCGCACAUCAAAUUAAUGUAUCAGUGCUUAUAUUAUUGUAUCUCGCACAUCAGAUUAGUGUAUCAUGUAUAAAAUGUAAUGUAUCUUACUUAACGAUUAAUGUAUCUCGUGCAUCCGAUUAAUGUAUCAACGUUUAUAUUAUUGUAUCCGUUUGAGGGAUUUCUGUAAUUAUAAACUUUUAAGGGAUAAAUUGUAAUUUUGCCUUAAAAGUAUGUGAUUUGCCCUUUAAUUUCUGACACUUGGAUUUGUGGCCCCCAUUUUAACACCACACACUCUCUGACCUUAUUUUUUCCCAAAUUUCCCCCUUUUCCCUCGAAAAUAUUUUAGCUCCUUGUUCAAUAUUCCUCUCUUUUUCAGAGUUUUUUUUAAUUUUUUAUUCUUUGUGCUCUUUAUUAAUUAGUAACUUGAUUAGCUCUCUCUUUUCCAUUAAUCAUUUUUGUCCCUCAACUAAAUCAAUUUAAAAAAUUGGCACCUCUCAACCAAUUCAACUAAAAUAUAAUUAUUCCUCGUAGCCUUAGAAAAAACAAUCUUUUGAAAUUUUUAUUUUACAUCUCAAAAAAUUGAAUCAAAUUCCUAGGAUACCUUUAAAAGAUAAUUUUUGAAUGAGAAAUUCACACACACUUUAUAUUUAUAUUAAGAAGUAUUCACUGAAUAUCAAAAAUCGAACUAAAUAAAAAUGUAGUCAAAUUGAAUAUUUCUUUUACUUCAAUUUAUUUUCUUUUUAUUUUAAAAAAAAAUUGACAUAAUCAGUUUUGGUUUCAAAGUAAAAAUAAAUCGAAAAAAUCACCAAACUGAUUAUAAAAAUAUCUCCCUCUUUAUAUAUAGUGUGUAUGUUGUGUAAUUAAAUUUUUACUCUUUUUAUUUGUAAUCUAGUUACCUUUUUAUAAAUUUAAUUCUAUUUUUUCACUUUCUAGUUUAAUUUGUAAUUUUAUUAUGAUGAUUUUAAAAAAUUGAUUUUAUGUUCAAAAUCACUUGUUUUUAGUCCUUUCAUUAUUCAUUAUUAGUUAAUUCAACUGUCAUCAAUCAGAACUAAAUUUUUUUAAAAAAAUUAUACCAAAAAAAAGUUCACCAAUGAGUAAGUGAGAGCAGAUUCUAAAAUCACUCGUUCUUCAAAUUUUUUUUAGAAAUAUUGUACUUGGUGUUGCACUUAUUAUUGAAAUUUAAGUUAAAAGUAAAAAAAAAAUAUAUAAAUCAAGAAAAGAAGACUAUAAUUAUAAUGGAGUUUAAUUUUUAAUCAUAUUAACAAUCACGGGGAAAAAAAGGCUAAAACUUGAAUUGAUAUUAAUUUACAUAUUUCUAUUUGACUUUUGGAAAAUAACAAUUUAAGACUAUAGGUAAAAUACUUAUUAUGAGGAAAAGCGAGGAAUUUGAAAAAAUGAAGGUGAGAAAGUGUGUGGCGUUAAAAUGAGGCCCACAUAUUCAAGUAUCAAAAUUGAAUGGAGCCUCACACAUUAUUGGUUGGGCCAAAACCAUAUUAAAAUUUUUCCUGUAAGAGGUAUACAUAUUACAUGGCAGACAAUAUGUGUAUGAGAUCCUCUCAGGUUUUGCCAAGUGAAUUUUGGGUCCCACUUAUAGAAAAUGUGUUAAAAGCUCCAUUUAUUUCUCUUUUUCCUGUUCCGUGUCUUCUUCUUCUCCUUUUUUUUUCUUUCCGUUUCUUCAUAAAAAUUUAUUAUUUUUCUUAUUAAAUAUAUUUAUUCAUCAAACUUCGAAACUUGAUUGCUUUGCUCGUUAUUUAGUUUGGAUCACUUUUUAUCAAACGAAAAAUAAUUUAAUUAAUUUGAUUUUUCAAAUGUUAAAAUCAAGUCAAAUUAAUUAAGUCGAUUUUUCAUCACUUUAAUUGUUUUUAAUUUUUCUUGCUAUUUGGUUUUUGUGGACUUAUAAAAAAUAUACAAUAAAAUUAAAUUUUGGUAAGGUAUAUAUAGGAUCCUUCCAAAAAAAAAAAUUAUGCAUUAUCUAAGAAUUUAAUCAUUUCUAAGAAAUAUGAUAAAUUAUUUCCAAUGAUUUUACUAUUUUCUUACAAAAAUUAAAGAUUUAACGAUGAUAUAUUAGGAUGUCUUGUUAAUAUUUGAUUUAAAUAUAAAUAAUCAAUUAAAUCACGAGUUAUUUUGAACAUGAAAAAGCACUUUCGGCAUUAUUAAAAUAAAAAUAUAAAUUAAACUAUAAAGUAAAUGCAAAGAAUUUGAUUAUUAUAAAUAUAAAGAGAAACACAUGAAUACUAACAAAGAGAACCAAAAAGAUAUUUCUAAUAAUUUUUUUAAUUUUAAAGAAGGAUAUAUAUAUAUAUAAUCAUUACGGACCAUUUAUUAAUAAAAUAAUAGGAUGAAAAAAAUUAUCCUAAAAAAUCAAUGUCUGAUCUUUUAUAAAUGAACACAAAAAUUAAUUUAUUAUUCUAAAAUUAAAACACAUAAUUUUAUGAUUUUUUAUUUUUAAUUUCACAAUCUUCAGUUUCUUUAAUCUUAUUGAAAAACUUUAUUUUUUCUCAUCACAUUCACUUUAAGUUUUCCUUAAAUAAAUGAUAUAAAGAUAAAAUAACAAAACAUUGUGGCCAAAUCUUUAAAAAACGUAGAGACUACCAAGGAGGAAAAAAGAAUUGUAGAAGAGAAAGUUUAAAAUGAAUGAGAAAAGUAAGAAGAUGAAAGAAAAUGAAAUGGGUAAAGUAUGGGUCCCAUAGUGUACAUUUGGCAGUCAAAGAAAUCCUCAUACAAGUUACAACUGACAAAAGGUGAGCCUCUCACAAAAUAAAAUUUUUUCAACAGAGUAAUAUUGUAUGCCCAUCUGACCACGGUACACGUGUUUCAUAGAGAAAGAAAGGAGAACACGUGUUUAUCAACACACUGUACAAUGUCUUUCUAAUGUAGAGGGGAAAGUACCAAUUUACCCCUAAAUCAAUUCACAAAUUUUAGACGAACUUUAAGUACAAUUUAAAUAGCUUUGCGUACAAACACAUAUUGCAGUGUUCGUCCUCCCAACUGUCCCUUAUUAAUAAGGGUAAUAUACAUAUAUAUAUUCGACUUUCAAAAACAAUUAGAAAUUGAACAGUUAAUUUAGUUGCCCUCCGAAAAUUUGUUGGCAAACACGUCUAUAUGUUCAACGGCAGCACGUUGUUACACGCGCCGACUCAAUUCCGUGGCAUUACCGGCCCCGUCCGUCAUCCAGCGCCGUCAAAACUCGCCGGAGGUCACUUCCCGAUGGCAUCUUCCGUCCGAAUCGUUGUCGUCGGCGACGUCGUAAGCUAUCAAUUUCAUAUCCUUCAAUAAUUUUAGCUCCGCAUUUUCCUUCAAACCCUCGCGUUUUUAACCUCAUAUUAGCGACUGUAUAAUAUGCUUCAAUAUCUCUAUAGUAGCCUGGAGUUUUUGAAUUACUGCUAGCAUUUUCCAUUUGCUGCUGAAGUCUCCCUUUUCACCAUAGUUGAAACUUAAAAAUUUGAGUUUUUGAAGUUGUGAUUUUUGGAAUUUGAAGUUUUGCGAGACAAUUCCUUGAAAAAUAUUUCAAGUUAAAUUUCAAAAUCUACUCCCCAACUCUAUAGCCAAACACUAGCUAAUAAUGAGAUUACUUUCAUUUUGUGAUUUGAAUCAGUUUAAAUAGUAGUAGCAAAUUUGUAUGUGUUGACUUUGUGUUACUAUCCUUUUUGUGGAAAUGAUGGGGAUUGUGAAGCAUGAUGAUUGGAACCUUGAAGAAGAUAGGAAGGCUCUUCAACUCUUGAAGGUACUUGGCAUCUUUAUUUUGUUUAAUUUAUUCUAGCUUUUCUUUUUGGGGAAAUAUUCUUUUUGUGCUAGGAUUAUUGAGGUAUUGUUUAUUGUGAAUAUGCUAGUUUCUACUAACCAUUGAACUGUUGAAAAGCUAGUUUCUUUUUGGGGAAAUUGUAGUUCACAAAAUAAUCCAGCCAAAGUAACAGAAAUCACAUCUACUAACCAUUAAACUGUUGAAGGAUUGUUCCGAUAUUGUUUCCCAGUGAAUUAUCCAAAGUUUACUAGUUUAGUACUUCGAGCUCACUUUGCAUGGACUUUGAUUCUAUUAGCUGUUAAAUAUGUGUCCAAACGGAGCUAGAAUUUGGUUUAUAAUCUCAAUGGAAGCUCUCUGAAUUGGAUUAAUUAACUAAAAAGGAAGCCAAACUUUCCUUAAAUUUGAAGCUCUUGACUGUCAAUUGUUAUUAGUCUUAACAUGUACACCAAGUAUUGUAGUAUGCAUUAAUAAUUCGUGGUAUGGAACGUCGUCGUAUUUUUUGUAUACUUGCAUAAUGCUUUCUCGCAAUGGCAAGUAUUAUCUUGUUUAAUGGAACAGUUGCGAUGCUAAAGUUGCAUCUGAAUAGCCUGGCUGAUUAAAAACAUGUCCUGCGUAGAUGUUGCACAGGAGGAUAGAUGACUACAAAUUAUGAAGCCUUACAUGUCUUGCUUUUGGGUCUUAUAUUUCCUUUGCUCUUUGCCUCUCCAAACUGAACCAUAGCUGUAUUUUGUUGUGCAACACUUAAUUUUGUAAAUUAAUUGUGUCCCGCUCUGCUAUUCUACGAAGGUUUUUAGUUGGAAGGAAAGUAAAGGUAUCAUGACUAUCAAAACUAAUUCAUAUGUUUAUGAAACAAAAAUAAGUUGAUCGAAAAUGUAGAAAGUAUCUUCAUACUUUAUUCCUCUCUUUAGUGGAUAAUUAGCAAUUGCUGCUAACUUUCUCCUCUCUGAGCAGUGGAUAUGCUUUGAGUAUGACUUAUUCUACACACUUAAUUGCAGUUCAGUGUUCAAGAACAUUUUGAGAAAUAAAAAUCUGAGUGUUGCUUCAGAGUUUCUUCUCCAUCCCGCUUUUUUGACAUGGAAGAAAUGAUCUUUAUCUGCCCAUCCAUGCUUUUGUGUAGUUUUGAGGAAUGAUUUCUAUUAUUUCUUAUAAAAAUGUUAUAGGUGUACGACGUAACCAUGAGAGAUCGUGAAAUGCAAGCUUCAUUAUGAAAACUAAUUUUAGAAACCAAACUUUUGGGAGGAUCCCUAGUGUUUCCACUUUUUCUUUCUUUCUUGGGACAAUGGAGACCUUCUCUGGAAAAAUCCUUUUGCUUUUCUUUUAUAACAUAUUUUGGUUUGUUUCCUUCUGUCAGCUAAUGAUUUUUGUUGUGUGAAAAUUGCAGCCAGAUUUGGUGCUCUUUACAGGCAUGUUUUCUAAUAAUCUCCCAUCUAUUUAUCCACAAUGCAUACUACAUAGUUAUUGUAUUCUUUCAACUACUAUGUUUCAUUCAUAGCCAGGUUUGAUUGGAAGAAUUAUCAGUUCACUUCAUUUUGUCCUUGCUUCAGGGGAUUUUGGGAAUGAAAAUGUGGAUCUAGUCCGAAGCAUUGCAGAUCUUGAGAUCACCAAAGCUGUUAUUCUAGGGAACCAUGACGCAUGGAAUACUCAAAAGUUCUCUGGGAAGUAAGUCCAAGUUCCAUUUUAUCCGACUGCUUAGAGGAAAAAAUCACUUUCUCAUUCAUUUUCCAUUAUUUGUUGGACUUCAAACUCUGGUAGAUAGGGUGGUCGUAUUAGUGUUGUGGCUUCAUGAAGGUUGUUAUUGAUAAUGGCAAAUGGGGUGACAAUUGUAGUAGUGUGUAAGUAGGAUUAAUUAGCAUUGAUUUUGGUGGUAGAGCCCGUGGAAAAUCAUUGAUAAAUUUAAAGGAUGUUUUCCUUGAAACAUAACUUCCCUAGAAACUUCGAGCAUUAACUGUAAACAACAUAAUGACAAAAUAUGAAGUAUCAAAAGGGGAUGAAACAUAUUGUCAGGCUCAUUUUUUUCCUGUCCACUUAGUUAGCAUGUCUCGACAAAUUAUUUUUCUCUAAUAGUGAGAUGUUCUACCUCUUAACUAGUUUUCUGAAUUCAUCCACUUCUUCUUUUUUUCUUAGUGUGUGCUGUUCAAUUUGUAGGGAAAAAGAUGCAGUUCAACUUCAGCUGGAAUGGUAUGUCUUUUGAGAUAUAUAAUUAUUUAGUUUCAAUAAAUUUAUACAUCUAUAUGUUAAAUAGCAUAGCUAUGUACUUGUUUAUGAUGUUUAAGACUGUCAGUUUCUUACUCUGGCACGACCUUCCAUCUUGUGUUCUGCACAAUCUCAAUACCACUUUGUCUCAGAAGUAAGGAAGAUAGAUGAUAAGAUAGGUCAUUGCAAGAUAGAAAAUAAAUAGCCAGGAUCCAGAAAGGUCCUCUUGGUACGUCUGCUAGUGGUUUGAAUAGGCACAUCCAACACAUGUACUAAGCAGGUUAUGGAAAAGAAAAGAUCACGCAACAAAAACAUGUGCAUAUCUGCACAUCUGGAAAAUAUUUGCAGUUAAAAGAAAAGAUAGCAAUAUAACUAUAAAGAAUGGGAUCUCUUUGGCUGGGCAAUUAUCCAUAUGCAGGUAUUAAGAGAUGCCACAAGCUUAAUUUUAUGAGCACUUUAAAGGUUCACUUAAAUUUGGCAAAUUAUAAAUUUAAUUGCCACAAGUAAUCCGAACUAAGUCCUAAAAUCUAUGUUUGCUGAAUAAGUCUUUCUCGGCAUAAGGAGUCAUGAUUGAUUCAACCCCAGACCAGUGAACAAAGAUUGAUUCUGAGAUUCUGGCUCAUGUUGCAAAGAUUUCCCUUUAAAUUCAACUAUCUGGCAUAUGAAUUUGUCUGAUGGUUCAAUUCCUUGGAUUCUGAUUUUAUCUUGGAAAGUAUUUGAGGCAUCAACUACUGAACUACCUUGAAUACAAUCUUACUUAUCAUAAUUGAGGGGAAAACAAAGAUUAAGAUUGGUUUGUAAGUCAGGUCUUAACCAAAGAAAAAUCAUGAUAAAACAUUAGUUCGUAUCCAUGUUCUGAAUAAGGACAAUUUCCUUUUUUACUUUUCCUUGUUAUCUGCUUAUAUGAAGAGCUGAAUACCAGAAAAAUGAAUCGGACAGCUAAGUCCUUCCCAUAAUGAAGGAUUUCUGUCUUGACCUAUUUUAUGUCCCAUCAUAUAUAAUAAAAGGAAAAGUACUUAUAAUGUAAAAGUUAUCUUGUUGGUGUGCUGACUAUUUAUAAUGGUCAGUCUUGGUGAUGAGCAUGUUGGUUACCGUCGGAUGGAUCUCCCAACACUAAAACUCAGUAUUGUUGGUGGACGACCUUUUUCUUGUGGUGGUAGGCCCUUAUUUCGGAAACAGCUUCUCAAAGCAAGGUUUGUGGUCCUAAUCUAGUUUGUUAGUUAUUUACUCUUCAAUGCACAUCGACUUUUCAUCGUAAUUUUUUCUAUAAUUGGUGAAUGUUGGUUAGCCUGAGUAUCUAAGCAUGUUUAGUGUUGCCUAUUAAUUUGCUAGAACCAAUAUUUCGGAACUUACAGUUUGAAGUUUCUGAUGCAUUUUGUUUUUGUAGAGGCAUAAGCGUACCUCUCCAAUGUAGACAUCGACUCUUUAUAGUCUUCAAAAUUUAUAUGCCUAAUUCACAAUUUCUUUUCCGCAAAUGCUAGAAAAAUACAUUACAAGUCAUCAACAAAAUGGCUGAAUUUGUUUCUGGUCACUUUCCACAUGUUUUUCCAUUUUCUUCUUCUAGCUGUGGAGUGUUCUUAUAGCAUAAACUAUGGAAAUAACUUAAUUACUUGAUAUAAUCUUUUUCAAAAUGCUCUGAUCGGAAAGGAAAACUUUCCAUAUACCAAUAUAGGCUAAAACCAAUUUAGUGACUUUUAUCUUUGCCUCUUGUGCCUAAUAUCAGAAGCAGCCCUAGCCAAAUAGCGCAAUAUCAUGCAAAUAAUAUCUGCAAUAUCAAGUUUCUGCUAUAACACUCUGGAUGUAGCUUAGAUGGUGACUUGUAACUUUACAUUACAAUUUUACCUUCUUAGGUAUGGAGUCCGUGAUAUGGAUGGAAGUGCUGAGAGAAUCUUACAAGCUGCCAUGGGCACUCCAGAGGAUCAUUCAAUUAUAUUCCUUGCUCAUAAUGGUCCAACAGGUGUAUAGCUUUCUGAAGUAGUAUUUUGUUGAGGUACUUCUGCCCGUUGCGGGAAAUUUUUGUGGUUUAAGUAUUAAGAGUAGGGAGAUGCAGGGCUAGGUGCUAACGUGGAUGACAUCUGCGGAAGAGACUGGUUUAUUGAUGGGGGUGACCAUGGUGACCCAGGUAAUACUUAUGAAUUGAUAUCUUUCUUACUGAAGCCCUUGAUUCAUCUGUACACACCCCAUUUAUCCUGAUGACCCGGUGCACUAAGCUCCCGCUUGGGGAAGGGAUGGACCACAAUGGUGUAUUACACUCAGUCUUACUCUGCAUUUCUGCAAGAGGUUGUUUCCACAGCUCGAACCUAUGACCUCUCCAGGUCACUUUUUCUGAUGAGAGUAAUAUAAUUAAAUCCUCUCAACUUCGAUGGAACAAUUUGUUUUAUGAGCAUAUAUAUGAUUGUUACAUUUUGUGCAGAUCUAGCACAAGCCUUAGCCAAAUUAAAAGAGGCUUCUCCAUAUUCGGUCCCUUUGGUCAUUUUCGGUCACAUGCACAAAGAACUUGCUUCUGGAAAUGGCCUUCGCAAAAUGAUAGUGGUUGGAAAUGAUAAUAUCAUAUACUUGAACGGAGCUAUUGUUCCACGAGUCAGACCCCCAUCUUUGACAGCAGAAUCUGAAGGAACAUCACGAGCGUUCACCAUAGCAGAAAUUUCAAACGGAAGAGUGGAGAAGAUAGCAGAAACCUGGAUUUCUGUUAUUGGAGACGAAACAAGAUUAGAGGAGGAACAUAUACUGUUUGGCAGUCCAAGCAGAGGUUCACUCCAUGCAUCUCUUUUGUAAUAAAUUAUUUAUGUCACUUAAAUUGGUAUUCAAAAGUAACUUAAUAUUAUGUAAAUAUAUGAUCAGUAUUUAUGACUUUGUUUGCAUUGAGAUUUUAAUGCUUGGUUGUUCAAAGGGAAGUUAGUCCAAUUCACAACUUUUAUCUAAGCUCUUCUCCUACAAGAAUUUAUAUUAACUUUCACAAUAUAAAUGGGAACUCUACAAUGCCAGAACAUGCACAAUGCAAUUAUAUCUUGAACUAAAAGAAAAACAAAAACAUUUAUUCAAGUUGGACCACAACCUCUAAAGUACAAACAAUGCAUUAUAUUGCUUGUUUUACACUAAAGUCCUAUAGUCUUAAACUACAAGAAAAAUAAAGAAAAGAGUAAACUAGGGUAGGUUGAUCUAUGGAAGACUCAUAAUUCUCAUUUUCCAAAGACUUGAAUAAGUUGCUCCCUUCAUCCAUUUUUACUCGUUCACUACACUAAAAACUAAAUAUCUACUUUUACUUGUCCAGAUUAAAAAAUCAAGAAAUAAUUUGUUAUUUAAUUCCUAAUUUAUCAUUACUAUUAACUAUAGUUAUUUCCAUUGCAUUUUCCAAAAUAUUGAAUAUUCAAAAGGCAUAUAGUAAAAAAAUUAUUAUAUUUAUUACUCAUUCUUAAGAGUGUGCCAAGUUAAUACUAAACAAGUAAAAAUGGACAGACAAAGAAGUAACUAGUGAGUAAUUAAAUACUAUAAUCAAAAGUAAAAAGGGAGGUCAAAAAAUGAUGAUCCUUUACCUAGAUUUCUUCAAAAAAAAAAAGUGAAUAUAGUGUAUACUAAGAUAAAUAAUCAAAAGUUGUAAACAUUAUGCUUCUGUUGACUCAAUUAUUUUCAUAAAUUAAAAACACUUGAAGACAGACAGAGACCUCUUUAAAAGCUCAAUAUCCACUUGGUGCACCAAAUUCCAAGCAUUCUAAUGAAGCCUUUUUGACUAAAUAAUGUAUUUUCCUUUAAACUAAAGCUUCCUCUUUUUAUAGUUUUGAGGAAAGAAAAUAUAAUAAUUGCAACUUUAGUUUAGUACUACUACUACUAUAUAUUCACUUUUUUUAUGACAUACUAUGUACAAAUAACAAUCACUCAUUUAUGAUGGCUUCUUCAUUAAGUAGGCCAACUAAACUCAACAAACCCCCACCCCACACAUACAAAGGUUAGUUUAAAAUAUGUCAAUGCAUGAUACUAAAAAGUACUAGCAUUGAUCAUCUACCUUGUAGUAAAAAUGAUAGGUUUGAUUAAUUAAGCAUGAGGUUCCUAUAAUAUCUUCAUGUUGUUUAGAUUAUAUUAUAUAUCAUAACAUAUCAAUAUAUUAUAUAAAGUUGUGAUAGGUAGAAAUCAAUAAAAACUUUAUGUGUCAAUCAACAUAUUUCAUAUAGUAAGUCAAUGUUGUAGUGAUGCAAAUGUUAUAACAUGUUUAAGGUCUUAGAUUUUAACUGUCUUAUAAUAAUCACAUGACAAAUAUCAUCUCAUAUUAGACCACAAUUUUAAAAAUAUUAUUUUCUUUCUUAAACUUAAAAUAAUUCAUGUCGAAUCAAAUUAUUUAACAUAAAUCAGAAAAAAAAAAACAAGUACUAUAUAUUAUGAUCACCUUGAUUUAUUACUUAACCAUAAUCAACUAUUAUGAUUUGGAGUAAACAAAAAUGUGUGUUAAUAAGUGUAUUCUCUAUACGGAAUUGUAGGCACAAUAUAUAGGGCAUAGAAGAGUGGAUUUGGAUAGUUAAUUUGUGAGGUCCAUCGCAAGAAUGAAUAAUAUGUGUCAUGAACUUGAUUUGAGAUUGAGACAUACUUGUUAAAUCACAUUGUGUAUUUGAAUUAUUAGACAUAUACUCUAAUCGAUCAAAAGUACAAUAAGGAUAAUAUAUUUAGUGUGAAUAUUUCCAUAAGUGGGGUAUGGAGAGUGUGAGUGUACGCAGAUCUUACCCCUAUCUUACACGAGAUAGAAAAACUGUUUUCGAUAGAUUCUCGACUUAAAAGAAAAUAUUUUCAAAAAUAGGGCCAGUCAAAAAGUAUGUUCACAUUUUCCAUCACUCUUGGCAUGCAAAGUGCAGCUUAAAUAAUUCCCCCAAGAUUAUAUAUUCUCAAAUUUCAUGAUGCAACUUCUUCAAAAGGAAUGUCUUCAAAUUCAUGGUUCCCCAAUAUUGUUAAAGCAUCAAAAGGAAAAAGUGAUUGAGUGGUAACUAUCACUACUCACAACCCAAGUUUCACCAUCUUGUCAUUGAUCAUGACAAUGCUAUAGUAAUCUUCAAUUCAAGCUUAUCACCCAAUUCAUGAAGAUUAUAUAUCACUACAUCAACUUUCAUCAUGUCAUAAUAUAGCUAGAGGUAGCAAAUGGACGAUUUGGACUGAAUUUGAGGGUGUCAAAAUGGAUUGAGUUCAUAAAUAAACUAGUUACUAAUCCAUCUAAAAUUUAUUUGGGCUGAAAUGGGGGUCAUAAUCCAACUGUCAUAUUAUUCUUACUAAGUUUGAAUUAUUUUAUUUGUUCUUUUAUAAUUUUAUAAUACAUGAUAAAGUUAUUAUUUUUCUUUAUAACGGGUAUAUAUAAAUAAUCACUAUUAAUAAGGGUAAAAUGAGAAUAAGAUAUUUAAUUUUAUCUUGAAAUUACUUUUAAAAUAAUAAAUAAUUUCAGAUAAUUACGUUAAAAACACGACAGAUAAUUUGAGACGGAAAGAGUAAAGUUUGAAACAUCAAUUUGUAUCCAAGUUUAUCUUUUUCUCUUAUAAAUUAAAUGAAAGAGGACCAUAUUGUUGUUAUAAACCCUUCACAGCUUUUGUGGUCCAAGAAAAUUCAAUAAUAAUUUUCUUUAUCAUUUUUCAUACGUAAUCUCUUCAUGCAAAUGUCUUUUUAAUUUUCUUUCUCUAUACUAUUUGCAUUUUAAUAAUAAUAAUAAUGACAUGCUUCUAGACUUUAAUAGCCUUUAUGACUAUGUCCUAUAAAUCAUAAUGAUAAGUUGACCAUAAUUACUUUAGUAAGCUUACUUUGUAUUAGUACUACCUUUUUAGUAAUUAUUUGUUUAAGGAAUUAAGUACUAAUUAAACUCUUUGUUUACCUAGUUGCUCUAUCUCUUAAUGAUGAUGUCUCAUCAAAAUAUAUGAUGUACUUCUCCGUUCAUUUUUAUUUCCAAUAUUUUAAAAAUAAUUUUUUAUUUGCACUUGUCAUUUUUAACAUUUUAAGAAAAGAAAUAUUUUUUCUUAUUUUUUUUCAACAUUAAUUACUUAUUCUUCAAAUCACUUUUAAAGACUUAAAUUAUAUAUAAAAAAAUAUGUGUAUUGUAUAAAUAGUUAUAUUAAUUAUUAUUUUUUAAGAGGCACACAACAUUCAACAUGAACAAGUAAAUAUAGGGAGUAUAAAGAAUCAUACAAAAUCUCUUGCUUUUAUACUUUUAAACACACAGAAAGAUCAAAGUUUAUGUCUAAAUGUACAAUCAAAAUUAGAAUUUGAUUUUGAAAAAUAAAAAAUAUUGCAUAAAUUAAAAUUAAAAAAAUUAAUAUGAACAAAAGAGUAUAUAUUAUACUAUAAUUUAAUAGUAACAAUAUUUAAUAUAUAUCAUUAAAUAAUAUUUCUUUUAAUAGUAAAUUAAAGGAAGAUUCAAAGUUUGAGAAACAAAGAAAGAAUGUCUCUCUGACACACCAAAUUCGUUAUUUAGAUUUCUAUAGCAGCCUUUGACCGAAUCUUAGCCCUCCAUCAUUUUUUCUCGCUCGAUAUUUGAUAUUUAUUUUAACGUAAUACUUAUAUUAUAUCGUAUUAUAUUAUAUUAUUAUGAUUUUGGAGAGUCUUUUUAUUUUCUCACCCACUUUGGCUUUUCUUGAGUUUGAAAUAAGAGAUAUUGUUUUGAUGAAUAUAAUAAUUGGAUAGAUGACAUCAUUUUUUUGAGGUAUAAGAAAUGUUUCGAGCCAAUGAUCAAAUAUGAGGUUACAUAAUGUCACACAUUAAUAACUAACCUAUAAAAGAAAAUUAGAGACAUGGUAAAUCUACUAUAGAAAGAUAGACUAAAUGAUAAAAUAAAAUUAUCAAAAGAUAAAAAUGAAAAGAAGACAAAAAAUAAUGACGCGAUCACUUUAAAUUGGUCAUCACAUAUGAUGUGAUUUUCAUUUUUACCUAAUAAUAAAUUCAAGAAUGUAAUAUGAUAAAAAUUAAGAUAAAUAAUUAAAAUAAAUAUUAUAUUUAAAUUGACAAUAAUACAAUGUAUCAAAAUAAAUUUUGUGCAUGCCAUAAGCUAUUUUCUUCUAAUUAUAAGUUGGUGUAUUGUAUCCAUUGACUUUAAUUAUCUAAAAUAGGAGCUAUGAGUUAAAUAAAGUUCAAGUACAUCUUCUAAUUAUAAAUUAAUGAUGAUUGAACUUUCUAAACUAAUAAUCUUCAACUACCAAUUAUUGUAUACUAAUAAUAUUUGUGUAAUAUAUAUUGCAUGCUUUAUAUAAUGAUAAUUAACUUCAUCUAACACUUGACAAUUCCACAACUAACCUCUAUCUUCCUACCUCAAUCCAAGGGCAAAAUUGUCUUUUCACUUGGUCAUAGAUAAUGGGCGCCCAUGACUGAUGAAUCAAAUAAAAUUAAAAAAUGUGUAAUAAUAAAAUAAAUAAUUAAAAAUAGUUACACCAAAAAAAUAGAAAUAAUAAAAUAAUAAACCGUGAGCAUAUAACAGAUCAUCUAAGAAACUAUAUAUCUGUAUUAUAAUACUUCUUGGUCCCAAUUUAUACAAUGAUAUUUUGAUUGAACACACACACACACACACACACAUAUAUAUAUUAAAUAUAUAAUCUAAAAUAAAUUAUUAAUAUUUAUUUAAUUAUAAACCAUAUUAAAAUAAAAAAUUAAAUUCAAACAAAAAAAAUGAUAAUUUUUCUUAGACCGACUAAUUUUUUAUACACCAUCACUAUCAUCAUCAACAACAAUAAUAUAGUAUUGAAUAUGUCCCAUAAGUGGGUUCGAAAGAUGGUUAUGGGGAUGCUAUUAUUAUUUUCGAUAGACACUUAAUUUUAAAAAAUCACUUUUUUUCACCACUUAACUAAUAUAUAUAUGCUAUCAUCAUUAUAAAUAAUUCCCAACACAUCAAAUAAUCUGUCCAUAAUAUAUAUAACAAGUACGUAAUAUAUCUUAUCUCAAAUAUCGUAUUUCAACAAGGCUUUUCUCCUACGUGCCUAAAUGACGACAUGGAAAAAUUAUGUAUAUUAUAUAUAUAUAUAAAAAAUUUAAUAAGCGUUUAGAUAUGCGAUAUUUUAUUGAAUUCAUAGUUUCAAAUUUUCUAAAAUACAUAAUUUAAAAUUUUAAAACGUGAUUUCAAUCCUUUUAUAAAUGUAAAACUUGACUCAUAAAUUUAUAUUUUAUAAUAGAAAAUUAUUUUAAAUUUUAGGAGAAAAAUAAAUAAAUGACACUCGGUGUAAAAUAUAUGAUGAUACUAAUAUUCUUGAUAAGUAGAUCUUUAUAAAAGUAGGUAUAUCUAAAAGUUUUUAAUUACAAAAUAUUAUUUAUAAAAAAAACAUAAACACAUACAACUUAUUAAUGCACAUCUUAGCAUAUAAAUUAUGAUUUGCUAAUUUAGUAAGACAGUAUAAGAAUCAAAAGAAUUUUUUUAAGUCACAAUUUCAUAUGGCAUGAAUUCUUAGAACUCAAAUAAAAAAAAAACAUUUGAGAGAGAAGAUAAAUAAAUAAAUAAAUAAAAGAGUGGGCAUUUUUGCAGAAACCAACAUGCACCAGUUCUUUUGCUUCUUUUAAUUCUUGUUUUCUGGGGCUUUGUUUCCCCAAUACCCACAUCCCGCUUAGAUCGGAUCUUUCUCAAACCAUUAUCAACAAACCCAAAAAACCACAAAAAAAAUAAUAUCUCAAAAAAAAAAAAAAAAAAAAACUUUUUUCUCUCAUUUUUUCAUCAAUCUAACAGAAAUUCUUGAUUAUUUUUCUUGUCAAUUUGAUGGCCUAAAUCUUUAUUAGAAAAAUUUUGGUUUGUGGGUUUUUUUGAUAAUGGGGAAUGUAACAGCAGGUGUAGCUGCAAAAUUUGCAUUUUUUCCACCAGAGCCACCAACAUAUGAAGUAUUUAAAGAUGAAGAUGGAAGGGUUUGUUUUAGUGGAAUAACAGCUGAUAAGAAUGUAAAUGUUCAUUUGUUAGAUACAAAAGGUGGUAAUAAAAUUGUAGCUACUUUUUGGAAACAUCCAUCUGGGAGAUUUACACUUCUUUACUCACAUGGAAAUGCUGCUGAUUUGGGACAAAUGAUUGAUCUUUUUGUUGAGCUUAGAGCUCAUCUUCGUGUUAAUAUUAUGUGGUAUGUUUUUGGCUCUCCUUUUUAUCCAUCUUUUUUGUUUUGGGUUUUUGGGGUGUUUUUUUUUAAAAUGAUUUCAUGGGGUUUCUUGUUUUUGAUAGUAUUGCUAAUGGUUGUUAUAAAGUUUUGAUCUUUACUUGUUUUCUUGUAUAUUGCUUCUGCCUAAUAUGUUCUUGUUGACCUCUUUGUUGAGCUUAUAGAUAAUUCCUCUUUCUUUUUUUUUGUUUUGGGGUUAUGGGGUGUUUUUAGAAUAUUUGAUUUCAUGGGUUUUGCUUGUUUUUUACUGUAUUGCUAAUGGUUGUUAUAAAGUUUUGAUCUUUACUUUUUUUGCUUGUAUUGCUUCUGCCUAAUAUUAUGUGAUAUGUUCCUUUUUAUUGAUAAUAUUCUAUAUUUUUUUCUUUCCCUUCUGUUUUGGGGUUGUGAGGUGUUUUCUUUUCUGGUUUGGGGGUGUUUGUAGGAUAAUUGAUUUCAUGGGGUUGCUUGUUAUUGAUAGUAUUGCUAAUGGUUGUUAUAAAGUUUUGAUCUUUACUUUGUUUUCUUGUAUGCUUCUGCCUAAUAAUAUGUGAUAUGUUCCUUUUUAUUGAUAAUAUUUUUUUUUUUUCUUUCCCUUCUGUUUUGGGGUUGUGGGGGAGUUUAUAGGAUAAUUGAUUUCAUGGGGUUGCUUGUUUUUGAUAGUAUUGUCCAUGGUUGUUCCAAAGUUUUGAUCUUUACUUUGAUUUGUCGUAUAUUGCUUCUGCCCAAUAUGUUCUUGUUCUAAUUCUGUGAAUGAACUCUCUGUAUUUUCUUGGUUUCUGAACUCGUUAACAUGUCUUUCCUAAACUUGCAUGGAUUUUGUAGUCGCAUUAACACUGUAACAUCGUGCAAUUAUAAUUCUUGAAAGUUCUGUUAUUUUGCUAUAAUCUCCUUUGCCUUUGGCACUGAUGUCAUGUUUGUGUGCUGGAUUGCAGCUAUGAUUACACGGGAUAUGGUGGAUCGUCAGGUAAGGUAAGCAAAUUAUCAUGCUAACUUCCAUUUCUAACAGCAAUUGGCAUCAUGUCAUUGAUCUAUCUCGUCAGCACGAUGAUGUCAAUAAAACCGUACCAUCGUGCACUUGUGUUCAUUUUCUUCUGCUUCUCUCCUCUUGCCUUCUGAGUUUUGUCUCCAAAUAUUGAUGUCUGUUUACUUCUAUCAGCCAUCUGAGUUCAACACGUACCACGACAUAGAAGCUGUCUAUAAUUGUUUGAAGAGUGAAUACAGCAUUAAGCAGGAGGAUAUCAUUCUAUAUGGACAAUCUGUUGGCAGUGGGCCGACACUACACUUGGCAUCUCGCUUACAGAGGUUAAGAGCCAUUGUUCUUCAUAGCGCUAUACUUUCAGGAAUACGAGUUCUAUAUCCUGUCAAGAUGACAUUCUGGUUUGACAUUUUCAAAGUAAGUAUUUUCUUUUCUUUUUUUCGUCUAAUUCUUCUGCUUGAUUUAUUGUGACAAAGCACCAUGCUGACAAAUCUCUUUCAUUUUGCAGAAUAUAGACAAAAUACAAAAAGUCAGCUGCCCGGUUUUAGUGAUCCAUGUAAGAAACAUCUAUUUCUUUAGUUUCUUCUUCCCUCUAGAUACUUUCACAUACAUUUUUUCUGCUGUUGAAACAACCUCUUGCAGAAAUGCAACGUAAGGUUGCAUUCAAUAGACUGUUGUGGUCCGGCCCUUCCCCAAACCCCACGCAUAGGGGGUGUUUAGUGCACCAGGUUGCCCUUUUUGUUCUUUAAACUUCUAUCUAUUAUUCACAAAAAACUAUGCUUCUUUAUGUUCUUCAUUCUUCAAAUUUUCUUCAUUAGAUAUGUUUUACCACCAUUCCAACUUCUAAGAGAAUGGUAUGAUAGAGGACUAGGAAGAUGUAAGUUGUAACGCAUAAAACUAUAUUAAGUUGGUGAAAUGGAGUGUUACAUGAUUGGAGGAUACAUACCAAAAUAAAAGGCACGUUAUGUAAACGGAUAUAAGACCACCAUUUUUAUAUUGUAGUAAAUGUGAGCCUCUAAGAUCCACAAGAUAAGUAUUGCAGAGAUCUGGAUAUUAAGAUGGAUAUACAAUCUUACAAGAUUAGACUAGAUGAAAAAUGAUGACACCGACAAAAGGUGCAAGUAUUUUUGAUAGAGGAUGAUAUGAGAUGAAGUUAUUUGAUAUGGUUCGGUAAUGUUUUGUGUAGACCUCCCAAUGCACUCUUCUGUUAGAUGCAAAAACACGGUGAUUGACGGUAUUUAAAUAGGAAAUGGUAUACGUAACAUCGCAUCGAAGGAAAUGGUGUCAAAGUGGCCUACAAUCUCUCUUUCUUUUUUUUUUUGGUUUCCUACCCGGUGUCCGGUACCCGCAUUGGAACCCGACUAAAUCCAGAUUCGUGCCGGGAAGUCCCACAUUGGGUGGUAUAGCGCUCCCUAACAAAGGCGACUUUGUACCCUAGGGGACUCGAACCCAAGACCUCUCAAAAUACAUACAAGUCUAGAAAAAAUGACACAAUAGGCGACAUUGACUAGUUGGCUUUAAGGCUAAGUCAGGAUGCUAUUUCAUUAGGCUCAGUAUUGUAGGAGUCGUUUAGUCUAGAGAUAUGUGUGUCAGUGGAAAAUGUAGAGAAAUUCUAAUGCUAGAGAACUCCAAAGUAUUGAGUAUUGGAAUAAAACAGGUCCAGAUAGAGUGAAAUGGAUUAUGAGAAUCCAUUGCAUACUCCAGCUAACUUAAAUGGAGUAUGAGAAUUCAUUGCAUACUCCAGCUAACUUGGAGUUGCAGACAUAGCACUUCUAGUUAUUCUUUUCUUUCAAAAUGAUGCCAAAAUCUUGUACAAAAGUUUGUCAAGCACCUGCCUUGUUGCUUUGGUUUUGAUUACAUACUAGUAAAUCUUAUCAAGAUAGAAGUCUUUAAGAAAUUUUUUUGGUCCUUAUAAUUGUUACUAAUCAGACUAAAGUUGGUAAAAAGAAAAGAAAAAUGAUUUUCUGGCGACCAGUACUUUUCUAGUUUUCUUUGGUUCAAAACAAACAACAACAUACCUAGUGUAAUCCCACAAGUGGGAUCUGGGGAGGUUAGUGUACACGCUUAUUAGUUAUUGUCUUGAUCUUUAGAAUCAAGUUCUUCGUGUAAAAUAGUAGACAUGCGUGAAACGAAGUUGCUAACAGUUUCAACCAAAACUGGAGGUGCAUCCAAGUGUUUGUGUAGCAUUUAUGUCACUCAACAACUGAAGGUUCCAUUGGAUUCUGGAAGCUUAUAGCAUUGGUCCGGCGCAAUUGCCAAACUAUGGGUGAUUUGUACUGAACAUGUCAACAAUACUUAUGAUGAUCUUUUCUGUCAAUGUCCAAUAGUGGACCAUUUCAAACUUCCCUUCCACUUUAGAUGAUUAGCGAGCUCGCUAUCUACAAGAAUAGUUAUUGUCUCCUUGAAAGAAUUUAUUCUAAGAAGACCCUUAUAGACUAUGAGUUUACAAGGAAAAUUAUCCACAUAUUGCAUCUAAUUCACUUCAAAACCAACUUCUUUUGUUCAUUACUGGUCCUUUCUUUCAAGCAACCUUUUUUUAUAUAAAGAGGCAAGGAUUGCAUAUUAAGAUAAUUAUUUGGAUGUCGUCUUUCAAAUCUCACAACUAUCAAGCUUUUAGAGGUUUGCAGAUAAAUGAAUGAACAUAUCUCUCAGCUCCACUACCUUACAUGAUUUCAUAAUCCUUUUAUUCAAAAUCCUGGACAACUAUUACAACUCUAUGCUUCUAAUCACGAGUAUCUUUUAUACUUUUCUUCUCUCCGUAGCGCUAAGUAGAAUCCUACAAUGGUUGAUGUUAUUAUUCUAAUAUUGGAAGCUACGUAAAAGUUUAUGGAGCACACUGAAGAACCUGCUUAGAAAAAGAGUAUUUCACUAUGCAUAUUGCCAAAAAUAUGUCUUUAAUUUCCUUGGUCCUCGUGCACUCAGAAUGCCUUGUGUCGUUGAAAUUGUUUACUACAGAUACUCUGAAAGGCCAGAGUAUCCAUGACCUGACAUGACUCAUUGUGAGCACUCAGUAAAAAUACUUGUCGAAUUUUCAUUUGAAAAAUGAGAUACGGACAUCUCUGCUCUGUUGUCAACACGUCACAUAAGGUGACUUUGAUAUGGUCAGAGUAAAAUUUAGUAUAUUUGAAUUUUAUGUUGCAAGAUAUGGCAUAUUAAGAAAUAAAGAGGACAAGGUAAACCAAGCCGGAAAUUCUUCCUCAGUAAAUGACAGAACAGGCCUUGGUUUGUCCAAGAUAACAAUGUACAAAAACAACAUUACCCAGUGUAAUCCCACAAGUGGAGUCUAGGGAGGAUAGGCUGUAUGCAGACCUUACUCUUACCUUUGUGAGGUAGAAGAAAAGUUUUGAGGUAGAAUUGCAAUAUGACAGCAAAAUAGCAAGAUAGAAAGCAAAUGAAGCAACAAAUAGUUGUAAACAUAGAAGAAUAAGCAACUAUGUGAUUACUAAAUAAUACUCUACUAAUAUGGGAAAGAGGAGAAGGACUAAUCCAAGAUGACAAUGUAAACAAGUUAUUUUUCUCUUUAGCUGGAAAAUUUCUCAUUUCCCUAUAUUUUUUGAGAAAUCUCGUGUCUGCACAUUUGUGAAUUGUCAUAUGCACAAAUGACAAUUUUAAGUUCCGUUUGGUGGGAAAUCAUGAGACUAAGAAAAUUAAACAGUUAACUCAGUCCAUAUUCAUGAACUGUCAAAUGAGGGAACUUUUAAAUGAACUUUAGAAGCUAUAGUGCAGAAGGAUACUAAUGCUUGGGAAAGGAAUAUCAAUGAAAAGCAAUAGUGAUAGUUUAACUGAAUGCUUGACGGGUUCUCGGAGGAUACAGAACAGAAUGAGAUGUGUCACUGGAAGAUCCUACCUGAAUUUCUCAAAAAAUGCUGCCUGCUUACUUGAUCAUCCUUGUAACAUUUUUGAAAUUGUUACAGGGAAGGUUCUCCUACACAAGUGAAAUCAGAUUUACUUGUUCGAUAUACAGUGAUGCAUUUCUGUGGAUCAAUUGAUCACUAUCUACUAUCGUGACUUAUUGUACAAUACCACUAGGCAUUGAUGUGUAGUGAAGUUGGUUAUGAUGCUUCUGUGCUCAAAAAGUCAUUGAUAUCACCCUCUGAAGUGUCAUUAUAUUUUGUUCUUAUGUGCUUAAUUAAACCUUUUUGCUCCAUCUAGAAUGCAAAAAUUCUGAACUCUAUGUAGUAGUCGAUACUUAAUGAAUUUCUUGAAUACUAUGACAGUUUAGUUCAUCGCCCUAUUUAUUUGUUUUUUCCGCUGACCUAGCUGUAGAAGUUCCGAUAAGGUUUAGCUCGUUAAAAUCCUGCACUAAAGUUCUCAAUUUCAUUUGCAGGGUACAUCAGAUGAAGUUGUUGAUUUUUCACAUGGUAAGCGUUUGUGGGAACUUGCCAAAGAGAAAUAUGAUCCGCUAUGGGUCGAAGGUGGAGGACAUUGUAAUUUAGAGACAUUUCCUGAGUACAUCAAGCACAUGCGCAAAUUCGUUAAUGCAAUGGAGAAACACUCGUUUUCUAAACGAAACAAAGGACGGCUUUCUCAAGCCCCGAGUAUAACUGAAUCCAAACACAACAGAUGCUUAAGAUUUGGAAAGAGACAAAAAUGAUUUGCUCUAGCUAGUUUGCUAAGAAAUGCUGCACAGCACCAAGAAACAAAAGGUCCGCGUUUAUUGCAGCAACAUAACUGAUUCAAGAAACUGUUUGUUCUAACACCGAUGUUACCAACUCAAAGAUCGAGCUGCAGAGCAAUGUGGCACAGGUAAGAUUUGGCCAGUUCAUUAUAGAUUGAACAUGAUUAGUUUAUGCGUUGAACAAGAACAUAGUUGACUUGUCUGUUAAAUGUAACAGUGUGUAUUAUCCCAGAAAAAGAUUAUGGUUAGAACUUUGUAUUCAACUCUCUGUACAAUUAGGAUUCUCAGUGUUUUAUGUAGAGAUCAAACUUUCUUGGCAAUAGAGAUGCAAAUUUAUUUGCUGUGUAUAAUCUACUCGCUCCGCUUCAAUCUAUUUGAUUUACUGUCCUUUUUAGUCUGUUUCAAAAAGAGCGUAUCUUUCCUUUUUUGGCAAGUAGUUAAUUUCAACUUUUCACAUGGAAGCCUACAAUGAUUAAAUGACAUUUUGGUAUAUUCUACAUAUCUUUAGUUAAACCACAAAAUUAUACCUACCUUUCUUAAACUCUGUGUUAAGUUCUUGAAUCCUUUAUCUCGUAAGUUGUAUCGUCGAUUUUUUUAUUUUUUUUGUGUGUGUUAUAUUUCACUAUUAAUUUUCCAAUUACAGGCUGCAGAUUCAUUGUACAUAUGAAUAUUCUCCUUGAAAUUCUGUGUUAGUACAUGCAUCUGCCUGUGUGAAACUGAAAUCUUUAGUUUAUGUGUAUGAUUAAAUAUUGUUGACAUUAGUGCUUCCAUAAAGAAUUCCAUCCAAAUAUUUUAUGGAUUUAAGUUAUAUACACCGAUACUGUAAAUAAUUUUCACACCAUCAUUUUAGCGUUAUCAUACACAUGCAAUACUAGGGUCUUCAUAAGAACUCUUGCGCGAGAGGCUAGGUUGGCUAGGUGAACUUAGAUUAACGGUGAGAAACGGAUAGGACAAACCUUAUCUCUCUUUAUCUAAAGAGAGAGGGAUGUGAAAGCUCUAAUAGCCUUAUGUUAUGGCCGAUCCCUCGACUUAUGGCUUUCAUGCUACUAUUAUUGUGAUGUGAAUGAUUCAAAAUAAUUGAAUCUCUAUCAAUCCUCAUUGUCGAAAUUUGUAUGCAAUAUAUUUACAGAGGUAAUUUAACUUGUUAUAGCAGGCAGUUUUGUUAUGAUGUUAUGAAAAGUUAUAUAUCGUAAGUUAAGUUAACCUGAUGAGGUAAAACAAAUUAUAUGUUGUCAAUACGUGGAACUUAAUUAAAUUAAUAUCUUAAUAUUACUAUAUAAUAUUUUAAUAAACAAAAAAAUUGUAUGCUCCAGAUUGAGUGGGAUUUGUUUGUUUCCCUCUUGCACAUGGUAGGUUAUUUAGGUCCCAUUGGACAUAGAGAAAAAUAAAUAAAUAAAUAAAUAAUAAAACUAGUUCUAUGUUAUGACAUCUUUAAUACUCUUUCUUAUUUUAAUUCUUAUAUUCUUAUGAAUACUUCUUUGUAGAACAUUUGUAGACUUUUUUUUUGUUUUUAUUUUUGGUUCUUAUACUGAAGAAUAUAUUAUGCCAAGAAUAUAUUCUUUUGUUGUCUGCAAAUCUUAUGACAUAUCAAUAUUGUCUCCUAGUGGUAUAUGUAAUGUUGUGAAACUUUUUUUAAAAAAAUAUAAUGAAGAAUACUAUAACUUAUAUGAUUUGUGCAUUUUUAUUUAAAUAUUUACUUGGUUUGUAAUAUUGGACUCUCACCAAAGUCAUACGUGAAUUUGUUGUUUAAUUUUUACCACAUUAUAUUACAAAAUUUGUUUACUUAAGGUGUCACUAUCCUUUUUCUAGCUUAUGGAUCUGUAUCGAUGCGUAUAUUUCUUUUGUCGAAGAAAGAAAAAAUCAUAGAAAUUUUUAUAUAUCGAAACUAAUUUCAUCGAAUGAAUAAUUCAAGAAUGAAUUUAGUGAGGGCAAUCUAAUUUUAUUAGUCCUUGCUAGAAAAAUUUAACUAACCACGAGAUCUAGAAACCAAUUUGUACCUUAUCAUAGAAAAUAUUGUCUUGACUUCGAUCGAAAGAAAGAACUUAAGACUUUGGAUUGAGUCGGGCUUUAAAAUGUUGAUUUUAUGUGUUUUAUAUUCUAUUCAUCGUUGUAUGUAUAAUUUAAAUUAUCCUUAAUGUCAAGUAGUUGAUACUUAGAAGCAUACAAUUAUAUAUUUGUCUAUUAAUAACUUUAUAAUUGCAGCUAAUGUGAGAUAGAAGAAAGACAAUUUCCAUCAAAGAUUUCACAUGGACAGCCAUUCAAUAUUAUAUUUAUUCAAUAUCAAAGUUCCAAAAAAUAUAAUACUAUACUAUACUAGGAGUAUUUCUUUAGAAAUGUAUUUAUAACAAAAAUGGAAGCUAAUUAUAAGGCCCUUUCCAUUUGUAUCAUAUUCUUUUAGUGGUGGAAAAGUUAGGUAAUUUAUUUUUAUGUGUCUCAACCUUGAUUAUUAAUUGGAUAGACAAAACAACAUAUCUAUAUAUAUGUUUAAAAGUUUAAUAACAAAUGAAUUUGAGUUCUUUAAAAUUGUGAAAAUUGUAUACAAUAAUAUCAUUGGUAAUACAAAGUCUCAAACAUUUUGAAAAUAAAUAAAUAUUCUUGGAUUCAUGAUUUUGUACACAAAACAAAAGUGUAGAGAGAGAAAUUGGGAAUCAAAUUACUAGUGGAUGAAAAUUACAAUGGGAUAUACUCCCUCCGUUUCAAAAUUAUUUGUCUUGAUUCUUUUUUUAAAAAAAGAAACUAUCUCAGACUAUUUGUCAUUUUAGAUAUUCAAGAUAAUAUUAGCUAUUUUUUGUCAUUUUGUCUUUAAUAAUAAUUGGUCGAAGACUACAAACGCCUCAAUAUAAACAAAGGUUAAAAAAAACCCGCUAAUUAAUCAAUUAUUUUUUUCUAUUUUAUCUUUGAUAAUAAUCGUUUGAAGACUACAAAAGCCUCAAUAUAAAAGAAGGUAAAAAAACUCUGCUAAUUAAUUAUUUUUUAAGAAAAAAGAGAAAUACGAAAAAUAAAGUAUAACAUUCUCCUACAAGGGAUAUACUAGAAAUAAUUAAUCUCUUUAACUAGGACAUGUACAUGGAUUGAUAUAUAGUUGAAUCAUUAAUUUUUUAAUGCUAAAUUGAGGAUAAUUAUGGUGAUUGCUUUAAAACUGUCAUCCACCCUAGACCAAAUUAUGUCACUAUACAACUUUAAUUAGCCAACUAAUUAAGUGGAUAUGAAUCUUUUCUUUUUAUGACAUUUUGGACAUUGAUUAAGUUCAUGAUGAUGUUGGAAUCCCUCAUUAAUUAAAUAUUAUACAAAUUCUCACUUAAAUAACUUUUAAGUGUUAUAAGGUUGACCUAAUAGAGACUAAACUUUAUGGAUUAAUCAUAGGUUAAAACCUCAUUUGACAGCUAGUGUUUUAUAGUUUAUUUUAUUUUUUUCUUCAUUUUUUUAGUAACAAAGUUGUGGCCUAGGGGUUAUCUAUGUGCAAAUUCUGAUUAUGUAAUUGUGUGUUUAUUAAAUAAUGAAGGAAACUUACGUAAACUCCACUAGUUUAGGAGUUAAUUACUUAGAUACAUUUUAGUUUGAAAUAUUAUGUAUCUUAUCAUAUUUUUGUGCAUCCCAAUACAUUUAGAUACGCCCGGAUGUAUAUAUCUCCAGAUACAUGGGGUCAAAAUUAAGUGUAAUUUGUUCUAGAUACAUUGUAUUCAUGUGGAUUCGCAUGUAUCUGGGAUACAUAACAAAUUUUGCUUCGCCUCUCUCCCAUCUCGCUCUCUACUCUCACAUAUAUCUAGUAUUACAAAUGCAUGUAUCUAGUGUGAUUCGCAUGUAUCUGAGAUACAUAUGAAUCUCGAUCGCCUGGCUCCCUAUAUUUAGUGUAUCUGGUGGCAAAAUACAUGUACCUAAGUGUAUCUUCCUCAAUAUAUGGUAGGAAACUCUUAAGUAGUGGUAAGAUACGUAAUAUUUUAAAAGUAAAAAUAUCAUAAUAGUAAAUAUGAUAGUAAAAUAGGUGUAUACGUAGUUUUUCCAAUAAUUAAUAUCUAACUAUGAAAGUUAAAUAUGGAGGGGGGGGGGGGAUUAGAAGAGAUAAACACCCAAAUACAUGAUGAUUUUUAGGUCAAUAUAUAUAGUAAUCAUGUUUAGUCAUGAUGUCCAAGGAUAAUCCAAAAAGGUAUUUUUUUUUCUACUGUUCUAUUAGUUAGUGAUAAUAAAUAAUAUAUACGGGGUUAGUUAGAAGUAUAUGGCAUGAACAUCCUGCAAUUUUUUCAUCUUUAAUCAAAUAUUUUAAAUUUGAAUCGCGAAAAUAAAGACUUUUAUACAUAAUCGUGGGUAUCAGAGAAUUUUAAGUCAUAAUAUAUAACUAAUGCGAUUCAAGUAUAAAUGGUCAAUUAAACAAAAAAGAUAACAUUUGAUCAACAAUUUUUUCAUGUUUUUUACAUUUGCAAAACAUUGAAGUGGAAAAUGUUUUGUCUGAUUUGACUGAAGUGUCCUCCACUCUUUAACCUAUGUGAUUUUAAAAGUAGAUAUUUUAUUCCAAUUAUUAAUUUUUAAUGGGAAUAUGAUGUUAGCUUCCACUAAAAAAUAAAUACAUGAAUUUUUUUUAAUAAAAAAAUCAAUGGCUUUUGUUGGGGUCCAUUUUUAAUAUAAUUUUUUCUACUUCUUUUGGUAAAUUGUGGCCCUACGAAUCCUCAAGAAUAUCUCCUAAAGAAGCAAAGUUGUCAUUAAACUUUAAUUCUUUUUAAUUAUUUAGUAGAUUAGAAAAGCAAUUACAACAUACUUAGUGUAGUCUUACUCUUAUCGUAAAUAAGUAGAAAUACUAUUUUUGGCAAAUUUUCAACUCAAGUAAACUUUAUCAAAAUUAGUAAAAAAGAAAUAUAAUAACGAAGAAGUCAUGUAGAAAAUAAUGGAGAAAAUAACAGUAGUGAAAACAAACAAUAUGAUAAUAUGAGAAUAAAAAUGGUAUUAUUGAGAAGGGAAACUAGACAACCGUACACAACUGCUUAUUAACCUUCUGAUCUAAUUCUAGGUCAAAAUCUUACCCUACAACACCUUCAGUAUAUUCGUAUUCUCGCUAAAUUGUAAAGUAUCAUAUCUGUUUAAUCACCUCUCUCUAAUACGGAUUAGAAAAACAAUAGCACAAAAUUAAUGGAUGAACAUGCAUGGUAGUUGAUUGAAUCUUUAUUACGUAUACUAGUUUUUUUUAUUGUUUUUUUUCAAAAAAAAUAUAUAUAAUUGAAUCACCACUAAAAAAAUUUAAACUCACACUAGUGGUUUAUAUUAACACUAAUCCCCUCAUUUGACGUGUCAUUUGCGACUUCCACAUGAUUAUUGAUUGAUUAAUAUAAAUUAGAUCUCAUUUUCAAUGGUGGUUACAUUAUAGAAUAAUUAGAAUAUAGAAAAACAAUCCAAAAUGUAAAGUAUGUAGUACAAAAACUAGUAGUAUUUCCUAUAUGAAGUAUAAAUACAUAUGAAACAAUGGAAGUCUUUGAAGUAUUUUAAAUUGUUUCAUAGUUUUAGUGAAGUGUAAAUUAUUUUGACAACUAAAUGUGAAAGGUGAACAUUUAAUUUUUGUUUAUGUGGUUAACAAUAGUUGUCCGUUAUACUAAAAAUAGUUAUCCAACAAUACUUGUCUAGUUUAGAAAAUCAAGAGAUAAUUUACAUUUUUGUGUCUAUUUUACCCUUGCUAUUAAAUACUAUUUAUCAUCUAACAUAUUUCUCAAAACAUUAAAUUUAAUAAAGUUAAAGGAUAAAAUAAUAAUAUUGCCCCUAUUAUUUAUUGUUUCUUAAGGGGUGUGCCAAGUCAAUAGUGGACAACUAUUGUUAUAUUUUUUUUCUUUUUUAAUCGUGGUCACGAACGGAUCAAUUCCAUACUUCUCGACUAAUUUCAUCGAGUAUCCAAUACCUCCAACCAGCAACACAUUAACUUGCAUUUAUCUCAUAAGUAACUAAUUGGGGAAGGGGAGGGGGGGUGGACUGGGGGUUGGCUUUGAUCAUUAUGCUAUAAUCAUGCGUGAAAUUAAGGUACACUUUGUUAAUUAAUUAAUUAGUACUAUUAUUAUUCGACUGACUAUAGUGAAAAAGGAUUGACAUGAUAUCACUUUUAUUUUGUUUUUUUGCAAAACAUACUCAUUGUUUUAUUUUGUUUUAUUUUAUUUUUCCUCCAUUAUUAUGAUUUUAUGCUUCGAAAUUAUUAUUUUACAUAAAAGAUAUUAAAUAAGUUUAAUUAAACUCGAUAUCGAAGAACUAAAUCGGCCCCUAAAUGUAUUAGCUCGACGCAUAAGGUUAAUUAACAAAAGUACAUAUUUGAUAUUCAUGUCUUAUCAAAAUUGACAUUCCAAUUGGUAGCUAGCUGGUACUCACCAAAUAUAAUGAUGUGUUAGUUUGGAUUCCACUAAAUAAUAUUAUAGCGUAAAUCGAAGUGUACUCUAAUACUCAAUAAUUUCAAUUUUAAGUCGGUUUUAGGUCUAUUUUUUUAAAAAAAGAAGAAGAUAAUUUCAGAGAUUGAGGGCAUCAAAGUAAAUUAUGUAAUCUACAUGCUUAUAGGAUUUGGAGCAUAAAGCAUCUCAUGUUUACACAUAAUUUACAAAAAAAUAUAUUCUAAAUAUGGGGUACUGCAAACUUAGGCGGUUUAAUUUACCUUAAUGUAAAUAUCAUUGAUAAAUAUUACAAUUCAAACAUUAAUCUAUAAAUCACACAAAGACUACUGGCCACACUUUAAGAAGUGCAACACGGUCUAUUCUAAGACAGGUAUUAGUUUUUAAUUUUACUACUUCAAACUUAUAAUUUAUAAAUUGCACAAAGCAUUUUUACGUUCCUGUUUUUUCUAAUUCUUAUGACACGACAAUAAUAAUAUACUUUUUGUAAUUCUACAAAUGAAAUUUGAGGAGGGUGAAUGACUGAAUGUAUAUAACCUUACUGCUACCUUGUGAAGGAAAGAAAAUUGUUCCGAUAGACCCUUAUUCUAGUAAAGUAUAUUAAAAAAAAUAAGUACGUAAAACAAAUAUAAUAGUAAAAAAAAUCAUAAAAAUAGUGACGAAAACAACCACAAAUAACACUAAAAGUGAAUUAAAAAAAUAAUAAUAAUAGAGAAAAAAUUAAACAAGACUUUUUCUCCUUCAAAGAGUUAAAGAGGAAUUUUGUGACAUAAGCUUUCUGAUUUUGGGCUGACCUCUUUCACAGCCUUUUGAUCUUAUUGUUUACAGGUGGCAGAAUCUUUUAGGAUCAAUUUCCCAGUCUGGGCCCACACCUAAAAAAUCAAGAUAAUAUUAUUAUUUUUUUCAUUUUACCUUUAUGCUUUUGUUUGGAUGAUUGUUACGUAUUGUUUCACAACGUAUUGUAUUUUGUUUUAUUAUAUCAUACUAUAUUAGUUUAAUGAAUAUAAUAUUUGACUAGAUUCUAUUGUUCUCCAUCAUUACAUAAUGUCACAUAUCUGUGAUUUGAGUGAUAAACCUACAAGAAAAGUAGAGUACGAGUUAGAACUACUAUGAAAAGAUAGGAUAAAUGAUGAAAUAUGAUUAUUAAAUAAUAAAUAAAGAUAAAUUGAAAAGCAAAUAUUAAGGUAACGACGCGAUCACACAAAAUUAGUCGUGAUCGCGUCGUUACAUAAAAUGAGUCUUUUCUUCGUUACCUAACGAUGAAAUUAAAUGAUACGAUACAACAAAAUUUAAGUAACAAUCAAAACAAACAUUGUAUUUAAACUAACAAUUCAAUACUCCCUCCGUCCCUAUUUCCUUAUCAAAUAUUUCCUAAUUUGAUUUUUUUUUACUUGUCAUUUUUGACAAAUAAAAAAAAAGACAUUUUUUUCUUUUUCCUAUUAUACCAUCAAUUUAUUAACAUUAAGUUAAUAUCCUUGAAAAAUAUAGUGAAUAAGUAUAUUUGAGACCCCAUCAAUUAAUAAAAUUAAAAUGGUACUAUAUCAUCAUUUUUUUCUUAAUAUAAUAGGUGUGUCAAGAUAAAAUUUGACAAGUAAAAAAGACGAAGAUAAUAGUUAAUUCUAUUCUUUCGAAAGUAUCCCUCUUACCUAUGAAUUUUUUAAAAAUGUGUAAAGAAAUGAACAACUAAUAUAAGACGACGGAGUGACCUGCGACCCACAUGUUGUUAUUAAGGAACAGUAUAAAGGGAAUCUCACGCGUGGGUCCCAGUGAUGCCUGUUUCCAGCCAAUCACAGAACGCAACGUGGAGGGUAUUUGGCACUUUAUUGCAGUGUAGGACCUGUAUAAAUAAAUAUGUACUCUUUGGUACUUUAGAUACUUGAAACAGAAAUCUUAUGUGUUCACUUUUUAAAAAAAUAAAAAUUGUAUUGAUUUUAUUGUAUUUUGUAAUUAUGUUUCAAAUACUAUAUAUCUUUAUAAUUGUGGUUUUCGAACUAGUUUGAGUGGACGUGAUAUUUGAACUCGAUUCAUUAAGAUUUGGAUAGAUGAAAGAAAUCAAUUUGUAUAUUUGCUUCGAAUCUAAGAACUCAUGGUUUUCAAUCUAGUUCGUUGACCAUUAAUUCACAUAUUUGAGUGCAUUAUGUGUUCAUAAUAAAUAAUUGAUUUGCAUAUAUCCCUUUCUACACUUCUAGCUCUACCUCUACUUAUCGAUCUCAUGAGAAAAAGGACUCGAUUAAAUUAUUUUGCAUCCGAGAUUCACUGAAUUUUACUAAUUUGAAUUUGUUUUAUGUAGAUUCAUUUAGUGGGAAAGAAAAAAUCGCUCGCUAUCGAAAGAUUAUACUUUGCUAGAGCUCAAAUAAGAGGUUUAAUAUUAAGGGUUGAGGGAUCUCCAAACAUCUCAUCAAAUACGUUGAUGGUCAUGAGAAUGUUCUUUCUCUCUUUUUCUUUUUUUUCGUCUAGUAUUCGACAUUUGUAUUGGGACAUGACAAAAGUUAAAUUUGCUUUAGAAAAUUUCAUUUUAAGGAGGUGAAAGGCGGGGUAAAAUAUUUUCUAAUAAACACAAUAUAAUAUCUAGAAAUCACGAUUUGAACUCAAAAUUUCUAAUUAAUAAAAAUAACUGAAUGCUUACAACUCAUCACGACUCUGAUGGGUGAAGAAAAUCUUUUUAAGCACAUUAUAAGUAACAAACAAUCAUUUGUUACAUUUCUAGUCAUAGUAAAUAAUAAAGUGCUAAAUAAAUUUAAACCAUAACAUAUUAUAAUAUAAGGUGGGGGGAAAAUCAUUGUCCAAACCUAAAAUAAAACUUACAAACUUAGCUCUUAUCACCUAAAAGGUACACUCCACACAAAGUCUUUCCUUUUCAAGAAGCUAUUCCAAACCACCUUUUAAUCAAGAAGAAAAAAACAAUAAAGAAGAGCUAUCAUAUUUUAAUUUAUUUGCUUGUUUUAUUAUAACUUAUUUAAUUACGUAAUAUAAUUGUUUUCCCUUUAUUAUGAUUUAUGACUUUAUAUCAGAAAAAAAUAUUUUAAUGAUGUGUCUCAUGUAUUAAUUUGUGCUACAUAUCAUUCCAAUUAUUAGAUGGGUUAAGUUGAAGAGAUCAAAAUGAAUGUAAGAGAUUAUUAAAUGGUGAAUCGUUAAUCCGUUCAAAUUUAAAUUGGUUAAGUAAAUUAAUUAUAUACUUAUAAGCUAAUUUUUCCCUCUCUAAUAAAAAAAUCUUCUUAAAAAGUUUGGAGAAAAAUUUUGACUUUAUUUUGGGAUCUCAAAAGCUAUCAUCUAAAACACUCUAAUAGUCAAAAAUUGUAUUUAAUUGCACAUGUUAUUGCUAAUACUUUACCAGACAAUAAAAUUUAAUAGGGCGACUUCAUGUCAUGACAUUUUUCCUUAUUUUGGGAAAAAGAAAACUAAUAUGGCCAACUUAUAUGUUCUUUCAAUCAUAAGAUAUCACAAAUUAAUUGAUUCGACCAAUUUAUAUUUGUCUUGUAUAAAAUUUAUUUAAAAGUGAAACGCUUUUCAUCAAGAAUUUCUCAAUUUCUAAAGUUUGAACUCGAAACUUUUGAUUAUAAGUGAAGGGAUCUAAUUAUUUCACCAGAUAUUACACUACUAAAAAAUCACUAUAUUUUACUGAAGAAUAUUCAGUGAUUAUUCCAAUAAACAUUUUGAAUGAAUUGCUAUGUUAUCUACUCAAUUUUUGGAUAUUUUUUUAAAUAAAUAAAUGCGUGUGUGUAAAUAUAUAUUUAUUUAUUAUUUUUUGAAAAUGAACAACUACAGAGGGAAAUUUCAUUAACAAAUUUAUCUAAGGAAGUGUCUUAAAGUCCUAAUGAACAGAAAAAGAUUGUAUAUACUUAUUCUCUAUUUAUUACACUAAAUUUUCCACUUAAAAUAUCCAAACAUUUAUUUUUAUUAUAUAUAUUAAAGAAAAGUUAGUGAAUGUUGCCUUAAAAGGCAAAAUUUUCAAACUACAGUUAUGUUUCAACUUUGAGAAUAAAAAAGGCAAAAAAUGUAAAGUAAGACCAUCUCCAACCAUACUCUAUUUUACUCUCCAUUCUCUAUAUUUUGAGAGUAAAAAAGAGAAUGUCCUUUCCAAUCACUCUCUAUUUUAUCCUCUACUCUCCAAUUAUAGAGAGUUGAAUAACAGUUCUUCAAAUUUGGAGAACUACUAUUCAUACUCUCUAUUUCACUUUUUGAAUAUUAUAUUAUUAUUUCUACUAUUUUUUAAUUAAUAUAUUAUUUUUCAUAUAAGACUAUUAAUUAAAUCUCUAAUAUUUACAAUUCUUUUUAAAUGUAAUAUAACAUUUUUAAAAAUAUUUUAUUUUAUAUAUACUACUUUCAUCUCGAAUUAAUAAUAUUUUAAAUAUUUUUUUAAAUUUUCGUCACUUUGUGGUUUUCAAUUAUUCGUAGUUGUUCUUUAGAAAUUUAGAAAAAAAUAUAAUUUAAUAAUUAAAAUUUUAUAUUACAUGAAAUUAUAUAGGAUGAUUAUUCGGAAAAAAAGAAGAAGAAAAGAUUUAUAUUAUGGAAUACGAAAACAAAAAUGAAAUAUAAAUAAUAAUAUAAUAUUGAGAAUAGAGAAGAGGAUUCUUUUUUAGAGAGUAAAAUAGAGAAUUGAGUUGGAGUUGAUUGUCGAAAAAAUAGAAAACUCUAUAUUUGAAGAGUAAAAUAGAGUGUAGGGUUGGUGAUGCCCACAAGUAAUUUACCUUUAAAAUUUCUUCAUUGACUCAAAUAGUAUAGCACAUGUUUAGGAAGUUAUAAUUACAUUUAUAUCCCUCUCAAACAUGAUUUGUUUUUUAUAAAUAAAAUAUAAUACUAGUGUAUAUAAUUUAAACUCUUUAAUUGAUGGGCUAACUAGUCAUUUCAUAAAAUGAGUCCAUUUCAAGAAAGUUAAAAAAUUAAACAAAAAUGGAACCUCAAAUCACUCAAACCUUAUCGUAUUCAAACUCUAAAGAAAGAAAUGGUUAAGAAGUGGAGGCAUUAAAUGAUUUCUAUAAAUAGAAAAAUACCUAAGGGAAUAUUUUAUACCUUGAAUAAUUAACCAAGAUCCUUCAUUAAUGAUUGUCCAUUCUUCUUCUCGACCUCAACAAGUUUUAAUCCUUUUGCAAAAUACUUACAUUUUUUUUUAUUCUAUUAUUGAUCAACUAAAAACAAAAGAGAUAAGAAGUCAUUAGAACAUAAAAGGAAUAAAUAAAGGAUAUGAAAGCUUUGAUUACUUGGCAAUCUUGAUCUAAAAGGUAAAUCUAAUUAAGAUUCAAGAAAACUUAGCCAUAAUUUUCGUGACCAAUGAAUGGCCAAGAUUUCUUGAAUUGUGAGUGUGUACAUAUGUGUCACAUGGUAUCCUUUUCUUAAAUUCAUAAUACAUAAAACGUGUCCUUUUUAAUUUGAUCUUAACUAAUAUUUAUAUCCAUCAAUUUUGAAUAUGUAAAAAUAGACACUUAACUUUUAUGAAGUUGAAUAAUAGACAUACACAUUGUAUAUGACAUAAUACAAGUCAAUUCAAAUGUAUCAAAUUGUCAUAUAUGAUAUGUGUGUUUACUUGUUUAAUUUUAUACACGUUCAAAUGUUAACUCGUGCAAACAAAGUUGAAGGACAUAAAUAUCAGUUAAUACUAAAUUAAAGUACAUGACAUGAUACUAAUCAUCGAGUGUGUGUCAUAUGAAUUAUCAUUUACAAUAUAAGUACUUAUUUAUUUACAUAUAAAUUGAAAAGUAUAAAUGUCAGUUGAAUUAUUUUAAAGGAACGUGAUGUUUAAAGACGUUAGCUGAAAUUAAGUUAUAGAAUACGAUGUUUAUGUAUUAUGUUUUUUUUUUAAGGCUACAAAAAAAGCUUACUUCCAAAAAUGCAUGCUUCAAAAAAGGUUCUAAGAAAAAGAUCAUAAACAAACCUCUAUUAUUCACUUUCAUUAUAUUAUAUAAUAUACAUAUAUUCUACUAUUAUAUAUAACAGACACCAAUAAGCAAUAUUUUAUUACCCACCAAUGGAAUAGAGGGGUGUAGAGGGUAAGGGGUUGGGUGAGCAUAUUAGGAAAAAAAAGCAAAAAAACAAACACAAUCAGAAGAAGAAGAAAAAGUUUAGUUGUGAUGACUAGAAUUUUUUUUGUAUGAUUUGUUGUAUUGUUGGGUUGUAACCAAGCCAUAAACCAUCAUUGUCCACACGUACAGCUUUAUUACUUACUUACUACUACAAACCAUUUCAAAGUUCCAAUCUUUGAUCUCUUUUUUGUGUGUUUGGAUUUAUUGAGGCAAUUGGGGUUUAUGGGAUUUUGAUAAAGAUUCAAGAAAGUGAUUUGUUUUGUGUGUUUGGAUUUGUUGAGACAAUUGGGGUUUAGAGAAAAUUCAAGAAAGUGAUUUGUUUUGUAUGUUUUGUGGUAAAGUUUUGAACUUUUUUGUGUGUUUGGAUUUAUUCUGACAAUUGGAGUUUAUGGGGGUUUGAGAAAGAUUCAAGGAAGUGAUUUGUUUUGUGUGUUUUGCGGUAAAGUUUUGAACUUUUUUGUCUGGAAUUCUUGAUUUUGGGGUGCAAUCUUUUUUUUUUUGGUGUGUGUGGGGUUCAAGAAAAUGACUGUGGAAGAAAUUAGAGGGAAUAUGGGUGGUGGUGAAAGGGGAAAUAAUUAUGAUAAUUUUCCUAUUGGUAUGAGAGUUCUUGCUGUUGAUGAUGACCCUAUUUGUUUGAAGCUUUUGGAUGGUUUGCUCAGAAAAUGCCAGUAUCAGGGUAAAUGCUUGAUGCUAUGGAUCUUUUUUUUUUGUUUUUGGUUAAUUAUGAUAAUUUGCCAAUUAGGUGCUUGAUUUCUUGUUUGUGAGGUCUAGUUUUGAAGUAGGUUUUCUGUUUUUAUGUGAGAAAAAAACAAAGGAACUCUUUUUCUUGUUUUAUCAUUGUUGUUUCUUGUUUUCAACACUCAACAGGAGCAUUUUAAACUCUUUUACCCUGGAAAAUAGGUGUUUCAUGUACAGUUUCUAUUUGAUUUUGACCAUGUCCUUUCAAUAAUCAUUGAUAGAACAAUAAGGGAAAUUGGAGUUCUUUUGAUUUACUUUUUUGCUUUUGCUUUUGCUUUUGUACAUAUUCAAUUCCCAAAUUCUCUAUUUUGAAUCAUUUGCUAUCUCUCAUUUCAAGUUUUACUAGCCUGGAUUUUCCUGAUUUAUUUUGAGAUCUUUCUAGCUUUAUGAAUCUUUUGUAUUUUCCUCCUCAUGAUUGUUGAUAAAUUGCAUUAUUAUUCUGAAGAUCUUUUGUUUUUGCACAGUAACUACAACAAGUCAGGCAAGGAUGGCAUUGAAGAUGUUGAGGGAGAAUAGAGAUAGAUUUGAUUUGGUCAUCAGUGAUGUUCACAUGCCUGAUAUGGAUGGCUUUAAACUUCUUGAACUUGUUGGUCUUGAGAUGGAUCUUCCAGUCAUAAGUAAGUAAAAUAUCUUCAUUUAUCUUAUUUGCAUAGAUCUAUCAUUUUCAACUUUUUGAUCCCUUUAGCACCAAUGGAUAUUGUGGGAUGAAUUGGAUCCCUCCACCCUUGACUGGAGUUCUCGGGUUCAAAUCUAGGGAAUGGAGAAAUUCCUGAUAGGGAGAACUUACCCUUUUGAUGAACUUACGUGGAGUGAAUUUGGAUUAGUUGGACCAGUAGGUUUUGGAUACCAGAUGGUUAAACAAAAAAAUAGAAUGUUUUUGCUCCCUUGUGAUUCUUAUUAGCUUCGAGUAACUAAUUGCAUUGUGUUUCACUUGUAAUAGAGGAUCUUUAGGGUAAUGUUUGGAUUUAACACUUGAGAAUUUCUUAAUUAGUUGAUGUUUGAACUUUUCGUUUGGUCCAGUGUUGUCUGCAAACAGCGAUACCAAACUUGUAAGGAAGGGAAUUGAUCAUGGUGCUUGCGACUAUCUGGUGAAACCUGUUCGAAUUGAGGAGUUGAGGAACAUAUGGCAACAUGUGAUCAGAAAAAAGAAGGUUGAGCCUAAGAGCCAGAGUAAGUCUAAUGAUCAAGACAAAUCUUAUCAGGUAAGUGGAGAAAGUGGUCGAGGGCAAUCACCAACAGGUAAUGUAGAUCAAAACGGAAAAUGUAAUAAGAAAAGGAAGGAUGAAGAAGAUGAGAAUGAUGAAAAUGGAAAUGACGAUGAAGAUCCAACAACUCAGAAGAGAGCUCGUGUCGUUUGGUCCAUAGAACUUCACAGGAAGUUUGUUGCAGCUGUUGGUCAGUUGGGUAUCGAAAGUGAGUUCUUUAGCAUUAUUAAGUUUUUCUCCGACUAUGCUUGUUAUGAAUGUUCCUGUAUUAAAUGAAUAUUUCUGUCCUAUUUCUAUUGCAGAAGCUGUCCCAAAGAGGAUUCUUGACCUGAUGAAUGUUGACGGGCUUACAAGGGAAAAUGUGGCAAGCCAUCUGCAGGCACUAGUCUUAUCUCCUUCUUCUUUGUUAUUUCAUUUGUUCUAUUUGAUCCUUUUUCUUUAAAUCAUUACACAAUUAGUGAUUUAUUAGACAUGGCUUGGAUAGUGGAGGUGAACAAGGUCAAUAUUUUUGAAGCACUGGCCAAUAAAUGUUUCACAAUGAUGAAUCAUUUGUGAGAGGAUCGGAUUUUGCUCUCUCGCCUUGGAUUAUGCUUUCAUGUGGCUAAGAGAGCAAAAUCUGAUAUAACCUUGCUACAUAUCAUGAAUGUUAAUUAGCAAAUGGCUGCAAAUAAUACUUCGCAUCUAGGGAUAUUUCGUAGAAACUGGAAAGUAGUAAUGCAGUAGUGUCUGAAUCUAAAACAGCUAUAUGGUAACAUUAUCCUGAUUAAAAUGGAGCUCAAUUAUCUUAGUUGAAUAAUUCAAGAACAUGUGAUGAGGAUGCACCAGUAAGGAGGUGCGAGAGGUUGGUUGUAGAAAGUGUAAUACUGAUUUUGUGGUUUAUAAGAGAAUCUAUGAUGCUUCUGAACAUCACGACAAAUCGCCUCCUCUAUAAGAAAUAUAAACAACUCUUCGAUAUGGCUUAUGCUGAAAAUUUUAUUUUGGUAACUUUUUAUCAUCUAAUACCAGUCUCUUUUAUUUUUUCUGAAUAUUUUGAAUCUACAGUCACCUUUUAACUCCUAUUCCUUGCCUACUUAGCCAGUUGGAGAAGUUGGUGAGACGAAAUCGAUGUAUAAAGAAAUAGUAUUGGGAGGAGAUGUUUGGGAUCUUUUGGAUGAAUUGAUGAUUUAUAUGGGAAAUCCAAUGCAAUAUUAUGAGAAAGAUGUCAAAUUUGUGCGGGUAAACUCAAUGAUCCUUUCAAGACUUGCUAAAACUAUAUAUUAUGCAAAUCUUGUUCAGUAUGAUUCAUUUAAUGCACUGCAGGGUGUGCUUUUGUCUGGCCCCCCUGGAACAGGUAAAACACUGUUUGCUCGGACACUUGCAAAGGAAAGUGGGAUGCCUUUUGUAUUUGCUUCUGGUGCAGAGUUUACUGAUAGUGAAAAGAGUGGUGCUGCACGAAUCAAUGAAAUGUUUUCUGUUGCUAGGAGAAAUGUAAGUCUACUUCAUCUAAUAAAAAAAUUGACAUCAUAUAGGGAUGGGAAUGUUCCUCAAAGUAAAAAGUUUGCAUCUUAUGAUUUCUGUACCGAAAGCAGCUACCGGUCAAAAGUUAAAGGGAGGGGGGGGGGGGGGGGAGGUGAUUAGACACGACAUGGUAGAAGGUAAGUAGGUAACUGAGGGGGUGGAGGGGGCAGAAGAACUGGGUGUCUAUUUUCUUACAAUACAGUGUCGGGUACCUUUAUUUUGAGCCGAGGAUCUAUCAGAAACAGCCUCUCUACCUUACAAAGGUAGGGGUAAGGUCUGCGUACAUCCUACCUUCAUUGUUGGAAAUGAAAAAGAUUACAGUUUCAGAAUUCUUAAUCUGGUUUUCUUUUCUGUUCUGCAGAAGUAUAGGCUUUACUUGAAAAGGAUCAAUUCAGUUCAAACCCAACAAGCAAACAUGGUUGCCGCAUUAGGGGGAAGGGACUAUGUGCGAAUGGGCUCACUGGAUGGGCUUGGAGAUUUUCGAACAUUGGGUGGAUCAGGACGGUAUACUCAUGCUGCCUUAUCAUCGUACAGUUCAGGGGGCAUGCUUGGCAGACUAAAUAGUGCUGCUGGUCUGAGCGUGCGCAACCUGGCAGCAUCUCAGCUACUCCAACCUAGUCAUGGUCAAAAUUUGAGCAAUUCCGUUAAUGCUUUCACAAAACUGAAUCCAAACAUUCCGCCUGCCAGCCAGAAUGCUAGUUUAUUUCAAGGCAUUCCUGCAUCAUUGGAGCUUGAUCAAUUGCAGCAGAGUAAGUCCUCGGCGCAUAUUCCUUUGGACGAGUCGAGACUGCUUACAGCUGAAGUGCUCGGUUGCUCAAAUAACUCCUUAUCCAAUGUUCCAAAUAUUCCGAUGUUGCUUCAAGGGAAUCCCCAGCAACCACUUACUGGGGGAGGAUUUGGAAAUCAGCACUCUCAAAACAUGACUCCGUUUAGCUCAGACUCGUUCAAUACUGGUGUUAAUGGAUCUUCCAACUUUCUGGAACAUGGUAGAUGUAAUGAGAACUGGCAAAAUUCCAUUCAGUUAUCGAAGUUCCAGUCUAAUUCUUUCCCAUUGACUGAAUCCUUCAUUAACAGCCAUUUGCCACAAAAUAGUGUAAGGGAAGCCACGACUCAUUUACAGAACAGCCCUCUUGAUUUUACUUCCACCACCUCAGUUUCUCCUCCUUUUGAAGAUUCAAGGGGAGAAAUCCAAUACCGUCAAAGUAUGGCAGGUGCUGUUCAGAGUAUGAAUCAAACACCAUCUCAAGCAUGGGCCGAUAAUAAACAACAUUAUUCCCACAACUCAAAUAAUACUUUUGGCAACAACUUAAGGUCUCAGGUUCCCAAUGAUGGUAACAUGGCUUCUUUAAGCCACAGUAUGAAUCAAAGCAAUGAGAACUUUGGCAGAAGGAUGGACAUGUCAUUGAUUGGUAGAUCGAGUGGAGGUUCUUCGACACUCGUGCAGCAAACCGAGCAUGAAAAGUUGACCCUAGAUUCAAGGACAAGGUCAAAUGAAGACUACCUCUUGGAGCCAACAAAGCAACAAGUUGGUUUUAGUCCACAAGGCUAUGACUCCCUGGAUGAUCUAAUGACUGCAAUGAAACGGGUAUGAUUACCUUCUCUAAUCUUGAAAUGUCCGAAUAUUUUUUUUUCCAGCAUAAACAACAUUACAUAGAAAACACUAGUUCAAUGUAAGAUAAUUUAUUUGAACGAGAUAAACCUGACUUCUACGUCAAUAGUUAAAUGUAUAGCUGGAUUUUGCAUCCAACUUAUGAAAACAAAUCUGCAGAGGAGGUGAUGACAUAUAUUUGCUUCACCAACAAUAGCAACCAAUACCACAAAAAGCGGGGCUGAAUCAAAUGGCUAUGUUGGUUAUCUCUUCCUAUAGCUUUUCGGGAUAAAACACUGUUUCCCCUUUGGGAUUCAUCUGGCACUAUAUCUGAUGUCAAUAAGGUGCAUACUUAUAUUGACCUGUACACCUAUAUGAAGCUAUAGUCAAUGUCUAUUGUGUUCUUCUACUUCCGAGUUCAUUGUUCAUUUCAUCUCUUUUCAAGUUGAAUCACUCUAUUAAUCAAAAACAGUAGACUUCUCAACUAUUUUUGCUCUUGCUAGUGCCUCAGAAAUUCUUGAAUUUCUUGCAAUAUGAGAUUGAAUGCCAUGACUCUUAUUUGUAACCAUCAAAUCCUAGUUUCCAAGAUACCACAUCAGUCCAAUCACCACUAAUCUUAGGUUAUCAGCGUCGCUAAGCUUCACGAAUCCACCAACAAUAGCUUCUCGGGAUUAAACACUGUUUCCCCUUGAGGUUCAUCUUGCACUAAAUCUGCUGUCAAUAAGCUGCAUAUUUUAUCGACUAGAAUAACUAUAUGAAAAUACAGUCCAUGUCCUUUUUAUUGUGUUUCUUCUACUUCUGAGUUCAAUGUUCAUUUCAUCGUCUUUUUAGUUUAAUAACUAUAUUAUUUCAACAACAGUGGACUUUUUAACUAUUUUUUGCUCUUGCUCAUGCUAGUGCCCCCAAAAAUUCUUGAAUUUUUUGCAAUAUGAGAUUGAAUGUCAUAAUUCUUAUUUGUACAUCAUCACUUCAAAUCCAGUUUUCGAGAUAAUGCAUCGUCCUAUCACCACUUAUCUUAGGUUAUCAGGGGGCACUAAGCAUCAGAAUUGAAAAUUUUCUUAUUUUUGUCAGCGGAUUUCACUCAUCAAGUUCUUGUUUGAUCUACCACCGUUAAGUUUCUGCACUUUGUUCCCUUGAUUAUGACAAGAUUGCAAAGAUCCUUACUUUUAUUUCGUUACAAACAUAAUCAAGAAAAAGAAAAGGAAACUUUUGUGCUCUUCAUACUGCAUUAUAAGAGUAAACGAAUGCUGGUGCAUUAUAAAGGAUUUUUGCCAGUUGUUAUUGAAUGCGACGACUCUUCACCACUAGUCUUAGGCAUCAAAAUUCAAAAAGUUGUCUUUUUUUAUUUUUGCCUGUAGAUUUUGCUCGUCACGUUCUUUUCUCAUUACAUACAUACAUUACCAAGAAAGCAAAAGGGAAUGAAUGCCUUUUGAAACUUUUGUGCUCUUCAGACUGCAUUUUAAAGGAUUUUUCCUUAUGCAAUGCAGGAGCAAGAUGGAGGCAUGUUAGAUGAAGGAACAAUAUGGAUUUAACUAUGAAGUUUUCUAUAGCUGUCAGUCAGCAAGAAGAGGAUCUAGCUAGGUUGCAGCAUUACUAAUUUAGGAGUUAAUAGUGUCAAUAUGUAGUAGUACUCCGCAGGCCUUCUGUUUGGUUAUUUUCUUCUGGAAAUGAUGUUAUUGACAGUACCAUUUCUAAUGUAAAUUGCUUGCUGCUUCUUAGCGAUGACUUCUCCAACAUCAAAGCUUUUUUUCGUUUGUCAUUUUUCUUUUCAUGGCAUUCUGCAGAUUAAUUUUGUGCUGUGAUAAAGUUCAGAUUACUUUAAUGUGGUGAUAAAUCUAACUAUAUCUUGGAAAAAAGUUAUUCAAAGCUAUGUUGCUCGGACUCUUAGUGUAUAUGUGGAGGAUACGACAUGAUUGUGGCAAUAUUUCUGAGCAAACUAGGUUCCAAGUUUAUAUCUCUAUGUUAUUUUUUUAAUGUUUUUGUACACUCUCAAGAAAGAGUUAAUUGCCUUUGAUUAUAAGAAUAUUUGUCUUAAACUAUCUUCUAUGACUUCUUAAAUAUUUCACUUAAUUGACACUCUACUAGUUGAAACAAUAAGGUGUUUAUUUAGAAGAAAUAAUAAAUAAUAUUAUAUAUAUAUAUUAUCACAAGAUUCUUGGCUCAAGAAUAAUGAAUCAUUCUGAAUAGUAACUAUAACAAAAUUAUACGAUUAUUAAUUACAAGAAACAUAAUAUAAUAAUAUAAAACGAAGGCUAUAAUUACUAGCUAGCAUGGGAAGGUAAUAAAAGCAUUUUUUAUGACUAAAUAAAUAGUCUUUUAGUUUAAGCAAUUCACUUAAUCAUAAACCUUUUACCAAUUGAUUCUAAGUAAAAAAAAAUAUUAUAUGAAUGAAGCAAGUGAAAUAUUACUGCAAGUUGUCAAACUCAAAGAUAUAUAGUUGUUGUGUUUUUAAGUCUAUUUAACCGAUUGACAUGUGAAGGAUAAAUAUUUAUUCAUGUGUUUAUAUUAAAUUGUAUAAAUUUAUCAUAAUUAAGUAUUUAAUAAAAUGAAAAUGUAUGUUAAUAUCGAGUGUGAAUAAUUUUUUAUCAUGUGACGGUAGGUAGUCCACAAAUCAUAGCAUAAUGAAUAUCCAAUUUAUAGAAGAAAACAACAUUGCCCAAAUUCCUAACUUGACUUGUUCCUAAAGAUUAACUAGUCAAUUUAUUAGCCAUUUUGUCCAAUAAAUAAAGAUAGUGCAUCCACCAAUAAAUAAUCCAAAGACCAAUAAAUAAAUAAACAAAAUAAUCCAAAGACCAAUUAGUCAACGUGUACUUAUUAUAUUAGACAUUUUCGCAAUCAAAAUAGUGCAUCCACCAAAAAUCAAAAGAAAAAAAAAUACUAGACAAUCUUCUUAGGAACAUCAAAGAAUCAAUCACUUUAUACCAAGUUUUUUUAGUGAAUAUUGUUGAUUAUAGGGGUCAAAUAGAUGAGCUGGAUUGAAAUUGAGCGAGUUAAAAAUGAGUUGAGUAAGUAAAAGGGUGAGUUAAUUAUUAAUUCGCCUAAAAGUUAUUUAAGUUGAAAUAAAUUAAAAACGAAUUAAAAUCUAAUCCGUUCAAGUACUAUUAAGUUUUAAUUGCUUUAUUAUUUAUUUUAUAAUUUUUAAUGCCUAGUAAAAUUAUGAUUUUCUUCACUAUAGUUGUAUAUAACAUAUUAAAUAAGAAAUUGUAUUUUCUAAAAUGUUGACAAAAAUUUUCAUGAAGUAGUUUUUUUUUUAAUUUAUGAAGCAAUUUGGAUUAGAUAUCAUCUCAAAUUUUGAUGGACUAAAAGGGGCUAAACUAAUAAUAGUCAAUGUGUAAUCAUCAGUCCAAAUUUGGACGAAUCGAGUUGUUAUAGUUUCAUGAGCUAAUUUGCCUCCUCUAUAAUUGAUAUAGGCAAAUUCAAAAUUUGAAAUCUAUGAAUUAUUAUACAUAUCUCAAUUAAUAUAUAAUAAUAAUUCAAUUUAUAAUCAAAUAUUUACGAGUAUUCUUGAUAUUCUUAAUAUAAAUACAUUAUGGGAAUAAAAACUAUUGCAUUCAUGUGAACGCAUACCUUAUUGAUAUGAAUAGUUUUUUAUAUGAAUUUUUUUGAUAACUUUAUAAUUUUCUACAACAAAUCUAUUUGAAAUAUCCAAUACUUUAGAGAAUCUAGAUAAAUUUUUUAAGUAAAAUCCCAAAAAAUAUAUUUUUAUCUCAUACCAAAUUCCUUAAUUGAUAACAUUUUUUUAUAACAACAUAAAUAUUCUGAUAUAUUUAAGAUCAUAAAUUUAUAAAAUUUUAUAAUCAUAUAAAAGAUACUCCUAUAACAUGUUAAUAAAUAUUGCAUUUAUAAAAAGAAAAAAACAAUAGCAAAAUUUCUAACAUGACUUAUUCCUGAAGACUAGCUAAGUCAAACCUUGUAUUUAUUAAUUAUUUUCCAUUUCCCCAAUCAAAUACAAUGCAUCAAUCAAAUCAAAAGAAAAGAAAAAUAUGAGACCAUCUUCCUAGAAACAUCAAGAGUCAACCACAAUAAAUUAAAUAGAUCUGUGACCUAAAAUAAAAUAAAAAACCACUUCAUUACUAGAGGAUACUGUAGAUUAGCGUCUUUUCAAAAUUUAAUUAAAUUUUUUAUAUUAAUUUUAAAUUAAUAAAUAAAAAUGAUAAAAUUUAUAACUAUUUUAUAAAUUUUCUUAAUAUAAAUGAUAAAUGUUAUUCUAUAAUCUAAGGUUACAAGUUUUAAAACAAUAUUAUUACUUUAAAAAUCACAUAUUUCAAAAAUAUUUUAUCUUUAAGUUUUUAACUUUAUAUCGAAACAGAUAAGUUCGCAUAAAUUGAAAUAUUCGUAUCAAUAGUCUAUAAGCUUUUCUAAAAUAUUUAUGAUUCUUUUAGAAACUAAAAAAAUCAUCUUUAACUUUUUCCACGCUCAACUCAAUUUUAUUUAUUUGUGAAUUGAGAUUGGAUUAAAUUUGAAUUUGCAAAUUAUAGGGCUCAAUUCUAGAGAAGGUGUUCUCAAUACAACGUUCUUUUCUCCAUUCUCAAUGAUUCAAAUCCGAUACUUCUAUUUAAGGGCAAAAAAAGAUUCUAGCCAUCCCACCACAACUCAUGUCGCAUAGUUAACUCAAACCAUGAAACUAUAUAAUAUGAAACUCACCCAAAAUCAUACUUGUUUCAGCCAUGGCCUUUUCCUACACUAAUAUUUUCUUAUUUUUCUUCCUCCACCAACUAAUCAUUUUCUCUAAUGGCCAAAUUAUUACAAUUAAGGGAGGUUACUGGCUAUGGGACAGUGGAUUAAUAGCCUUAAACAAAAUUGAUUUAACUCCUUUCUCUCACUUAUUUUGUGGAUUUGCUGAUAUUAAUUCCCAAUCCAAUCAAUUAAUUCUCACUUCACCAAAUUCAUUCAUACAAUUUACAAGCAUAGUCCAACAAAAAAAUCCUUCUGCAAAAUUUUUAUUGUCAAUAGGUGGAGGAGGUGCAAAUAAAACAACAUAUGGAGUUAUGGCUACAGCACCAAAUUCAAGAAAAAGUUUUAUUGAUUCAUCAAUAAAAUUAGCUAGACAAUUGGGAUUUCAUGGUCUUGAUCUUAGUUGGAUAUUUCCAGAAUCUGCUUCAGACAUGAUGAAUUUAGGUACUGUAUGAUCAUCUCAUCUAAGAGCUAGUUUAAUCAAACAGAGAUAAAAAUUUGAAUAUUCUUUCCUUUUUCAUAUACAUGAUUGACGAAAUUUGAAUCUAGAGUAUUCUUUGCUCUGAUAUCAUUUUGAGUUGUGGAACCCUGAUUUCAUAUUUUAAAACAUCAAUAUUUAGAGAGUUCCUAUUGGUUUAAAUUUAUUGUGAUUUAGAUUUACUUUUCAUUAAUAGUUGAAGUCAUUUAUAAAAUGAGUUAGAUUUAUUUGUACCGACUAAGAUAAAGACUUUAAAACACAUAGGCCUUUUAUAAGAAAAAAAAAGGGUGAAAUACACAAAAUAAUUUGAAUUUGUCCCUAGACAGCUUUGCAAAAUGGUCAAAUUUCAUAAUGACGAAUUUAAAACUUAUGUCGUUAGUCAAUAAGAUGAGUAAAUAAUAUAUAGCCUUGUAAUAAGAGAAUUUAAUGUAAAAGUUAGACGAAGAUAAUCUUUUAUUUACUUAUAUGUUAUGAAGGCAUCCUUUUGAAUGAGUGGCGCAUUGCUAUCAACACGGAGGCAAGAAACUCCAGCAAAGUGGCUUUACUUUUCACGGCAGCCGUUUCCGGUUCGCCCCGAGUCAAUGGUUCAAUUUAUCCGGUUCAAUCACUAGCAAAAAAUUUAGACUGGAUCAACCUAAUAGCAUACGACUUCUACGGACCAAAUUGGUCGCCAUCACAAACAAAUUCACAUGCACAAUUAUUCGACCCGGUGAACUAUGUGAGUGGUAGUGACGGAAUCAACCAAUGGAUUCAACAAGGUGUCCCAUCACAAAAAAUUGUUUUUGGUAUUCCUUUUUAUGGAUAUGCAUGGAGAUUGAAUAAUACGAAUAUUCAUGGUCUCAGGGCACCGGCUAUCGGAAAAUCAGAUGUCUACGAUGAUCCGUGGAUGACAUAUGACCAAAUUAGGGAUUUUAUAGUGCAACAUCGUGCCACGACCAUACAUGAUGAUAGAAUUAUUGGAGAUUAUUGUUACUCGGAAAAUACUUGGAUUAGUUAUGAUGAUAUUCAAACUGUUAAGACUAAAGUGUCUUAUAUUAAAAGCAGAGGGCUGCUUGGUUAUUAUGCAAUGGAUAUUUCAGGAGACACUAAUUGGAAUUCUCUUCUUUCUCAUGCUGCUUCACAAGGUAUAAACUAACUCCAUUCAUUUUGUUAUUCAAAAGGAUUUAUAUCUUUUCAUACUAAAAAAAAAAAAAAAAGGUAUGUAAGCAUUUCAACUCCUUUCAGUUUGAUCAUCUCAUAAACUUGAUAUGUCACCUUAGUGUCACGUGUCGACAACACAAAAAAGACAAAUUGAGGUGUUGAUCUAGACAUACAGCGUUUACUUGUCAGUUGAGAUCAAAAUUUAUAAUGUCGAUCUAUUAUAUUAUACCUAUUAUAAAUUUAUGAAUGGCUCAACUAUUUAUUUUUCUUUUGUUUUUUAAAAUUUAGAAGCUGAUGGAAUGACACAAGGAGAAAUUGUGAAGAAGAAGAAAAAACUCAAUCGACUAGUUAUCAUUUUGAUUCCAAUUGGUGCACUACUAAUAUUGAUAUUGUUAGUGUUUAUAAUUUGGUAUCUUCGAAGGAGACAAGUACCUAAGUUUCAAGGUAAUUACUCUUUUCGAUUAAUUUUACGUGAAGAUGUUAUCAUUAAAAAGUCAAACAUAUAUAUUUUUUUUACUCUAAUAUUUUCAGAUAUUUUUAAAAUAUGUGAAAUUAUUAUUAACUGAAUUUAGGAGUGUUAUUAAUAUUCUUCUUUUUAAUUUUAUUUUUUUAUAUUAGAGUUAGAGAGGAACCAAAGGAACAAAAUGGGAAGUAAAAAUAAAGCAAGAAAAAGUGGAGAUAAUAGCAAUUUGCAAGUUUUUAGUUUUGAUGAGAUGAAGGAAGCUACAAAUAAUUUUUCAUUUGACAAUAAGCUUGGAGAAGGGGGAUAUGGACCUGUUUUCGAGGUAAAUUCUAUCGAUAUUUAUAUUAAAUUAAUCAAUAUAAAUGUUUUACUUAUAUAUAUAUUUUAUUUUAUUUUUAGUUUUGUAUAAUUAAAAAUUGUUGGAGCAAAAUAUUUUGAGUCUUGAAUAGGAAGAAAAUGUGAAACAGAAUCAUUAUGUGGUCACCGUAAAAAAUUUCUAAUUUGAAUUAACAUCCUUUUAGCAAAAAAUGGUACUAAUAUUGCUAAUUAUAAAUUUUUCCCUUUAUAUAUAUAGCACCUGUUGGGUUAAAUAAUUCUUUAAUGGUCUGGUUAAUCAUUGUUAUUUUUUUAUUUAAAACAAAUAUCUUCAAUGAUUUUUGGAUGGCCUGUGGUAUAUUUUUAAAUUCGAAUCAGAAAUUUGUGCCAGACUACAAAUAUAUGCAUGGCAUAUUUAAAGUAAAUUCUUUAAAAAAGAAGAAGGAAAUUUCGCAAAUAGCCACUAAAAUAAUCUUAAUUAGGCUCUAUAGUUAUAGUUUGUUAAUUAACUAAUAUAUGUUUGCUUCUCCUCAUAAUUUCUCUAAAAAAAUAUAGGUGGUUGAAAAUUCAAAGUUGAAAAAUAAUUUUAAAGUUUAAACAAAACAAGAAAUUAAUAAAACACGAUAUUAUAUUUUAAACUAACUGAUUAAAUUAAUGAUGGGACAGGUCUUCAAUCUUCAAGAUGAUGAAUUUACUAAUAGGAGUUGUUAAUUAGUAAUUAAUGCUAUAAAUAAUCUUUUUUGGGAUGCACAAAGAAGAAAAUGGUGCCAUAUAAAUUACGACGAUAAUAUUCACCGUAUUUAUGUUUAUGAUAGAUAUUGAGUGUACCUCCCUAAGUAAAAUUAGGAAUUCAAAUUUUAUGUCUAUUUAUUUACUUUUUAAAAUAAAAAUAAAAAUUGUUAACACGACCUCUCUAACUAGUUAUUGAUGUUUUCUUUCUUUUCUAAAACUUGGUAUACCUAAGUGGUUAUUUAGUGUUAUGUCUUGCAUCUUAUUUAGUACUUUUUUCUUUUUCUUUUUCUUUUUUUGGUCUGGUUUAUUCUUUUAAAAUUUCAAUUGAUCCCAACAUCUUCGAUACAAAAUAUAACUAUAGAUGUUAAACAAUAAUUUUAAAAAAGGACAUAAUAUGUUAAAGUGAGAAUUUGAAGAUUAAACUGAUUAAAUUUUUAUUUGAGUUCACUUCUUCAUAAUAAUACAUCAAUCUUCUUGAAAUUCUGAAUACGCUUCUUAUAAAUCUAAAUAGGGAAAGUUGAGGAAUGGGGAAAAAAUAGCAGUGAAAAGGUUAUCAGAGACUUCAUCUCAAGGAUUGGAAGAAUUUGAAAAUGAAGUGAUUCUUACUGCAAAAUUACAACAUAUAAAUCUUGUAAAAGUUGUGGGAUUUUGCAUUGAAAAUGGAGAAAAAAUGUUGAUCUAUGAAUAUAUGCCCAACAAGAGCUUGGACCACUACAUUUACAGUAAGUCAUUCUUUUUUAUAUUUGAGUUUAACUUGCUUAUAAAUUAUAACAUACCAAUAAAGUUGUGAUGGACUGAUAAGUAUUCAUUCAUCUUUAAUCAAAUAUCUCAAGUUCUAAUUUUUCCUUAGUACAGAAUUGCCUUUGUUAUGAAGUGUUUUACCCUUGAUAUGGGACUUCUAAAAACUAAUUUAAAUUUAAUCGGAAUCCAAUACGAAUAUCAAAUAGUGGCCAUGACCCCUCCCCCUCCAAAAUAAAAAGGGACUUACCUAUACUAUGAAUUUGGAUCAAUCAAAAGAUAAUUAUAGGUAAACAUCCACUAUGUUGUUAUUCCUAUUAAGCACCAGUGUUUGUUGCAACACCAACAAACAGUCUGUAACAGCUUAAAAAGAUUGAUUUUUAGCCGAUCCACCCCUGCAAUAAGAAUUAUACUGUAUAAAAUAAAGGUAAAUUUGAAAGAAAAAAAAAAUAUUUUAUUAUGUAAAAAAAUAUACUUAUUUUGAAUUAAAUGUAAAAGAUAAAAAUACCAUAUUAUAUGGACUGAAAAGAAUUAUAAAAAUAUUAAAUCUCUUCGCUUUUUCACGUGUUUUUUUUAAAUAUCUAAUUUGGAUCUUUUUAAUUGACAUUCUGACUCUGUCACUAACUCUGAAGAUGAAAUGUAUUUAUAUGUUUUUUGAUCAACUUGAUUUGUAUUUUCUCAUGUAGAUCAAGUGAGAAGAUUAGUUCUAAAUUGGGAAAAAAGAGUGCAAAUAAUUGAAGGCAUUAUUCAAGGGCUAUUAUACCUCCAAGAAUAUUCAAGAUUAACAAUUAUCCAUAGGGAUAUAAAAGCCAGCAAUAUUCUAUUGGACUUACAAAUGAAACCAAAGAUUUCUGAUUUUGGAAUGGCAAGAAUGUUUAAGGAGGAUGAAGUUGAAGCAAAUACAAGCAGAAUAGUUGGAACAUUGUAAGUAUUAUAUAUACCUCGUAAACAAUUUUUACACUAUCAAAUUAUUUAAUAUAUAUGGGUACGUAAAAUAAGCUUUGUAAGCGAUAUUCCAUAUUAAGUGAUCGAAUAAAGUGAAAAUAUAUAUUAAUUGUUCAUAAUUA
rnacentral:lncRNA from 1 species